UCCAGGGUGCUGCGUCACCUCAUUUUGGGCUGAUGGCCCAUGUAUCAAGUUGGGUCCAUUAGAGACGCAUCCUAGGGUUGGAGGACGACCCCAACACCUCUUUGGUCGUCAAUCCAUCUACUUAUAUCCCUCUAGAGUCGCCAUGGUCGUUGGGUUUUGUUUAGAUCAAGUUUAGCCUUCGCUACUUGCUUGUAGGCGCGCGUGCAGGAUCAGCCGCCCGUCUCCUUGUCUUCGGAACCCCAUUGUUGAUUCAGAUUCAGUUUGAAACCUUCAAUUCAUCUUGCAAAUUCAGUGCUUGUUUCCUCGUUCUUGCUAGUUCUUCGAUUGCUUGCAGGACGGGAGCCCUAGGGGCUGGUUGUCAUGCUCCACAAGAUCGUGACGGCUAUUGGACGUGGUGUAUCGGUUGCUAAGGCGCGGUCUUGAGGGCUGUAGUCAGGCCGUGAACGUCAUCUCCAUCCACCAAUCGAGUUAUCCCCGUCUCUCAUCAAAAGAUCGGGCAAAAACCCUAGCGGGUUCGCAUCAGUUGGUAAUCAGAGCAAGGUUCUUCGGUGAGAGACUUCUAAUCCUUUGUUGUUUUUAAUUAAUUUCCUAUAGUCCACAAAAGCCAAAAAAAAUAUAGUAGAUUAGUUUUUCCAUAAUCCUAUUAAACCUUUGUGCCUUGGCUAGUACCGUUUUAGUUAGGGCUUGUUGAAUUUGUGUUGCUUUGGUUUGUGUCGAGUUGCUGGUCUUAGUGUAGUUCUUUAGAGUUUCGAGUUCUUGUCACCAUCUAUACACAGUCGAGUAUUACCAUAUCUUCUCUCUGUUGAAUUUGUUGCGAAGUCCGAAUUGAACUGUAGUCUUGGUACGGAUCGAGUAGAGUUCCAAUCUGAGCUCCACCAACGUGAUAAAAAAAGAAGGAAACCGAGUAGAACUCGGCAAUAGGUGGAAUCCGUUUUGUGGUUGGUUCUGAGUGGAAACCGAAUAGAACUUGGAGUCCGCUUGUUAAUAUAGCCUGAACUCCGUCUAUGUGAGUCCUUCUGUGAUCCAAAAAGAAAGAUAACUCCAUACUUGUUCGGCCUUACUCUAGAGAGAGAGAGAAAAAAAGUGUGUGUAGCGAAUUGCUCUUUUGUAUUCUUUUGUUCAUAUAAUCAGUUUUUGAGGUUGCCCAAAAAAAAGAAAAAAAAGAAAAAAAAGAAAAGAGAAAAGAUUCAAAAAAAGGGGCUGUUUUUCAUAUUGAUUUUAGGUUUGUUCCACCUUGUUUUCGGGGGUGUGCUGUGGUUUUCCUUUGUGUCCAGGCUCGCGUCUCUAGCACGGUCUAGCCUAGGACCAGCACAGUACCAUCGUCGAACGCUUAUUCAGCUCACUUUUAUAACUAAUGUGGUGCUAGUUCGUUCCUUGUUUCAGCCCACCUAUAGCUCCUCAUACUCUACAGCUUGACAGGUCUUGUGCUGCAGCACCGAUACACUUCGUCCAUUGCUGUACACUUGUUGGCAGACGACCCCUCCUGUCAAACAAGGUAAGAAUUGGUAAGAACUUGUGUUACAGGUUGAGUGUGAGCGACUUGCUGUAGCUACAUCCUAGUAGUUGUAGGGAUUUUAUUUCUUCACUUGCCUUUUUGUUGUCUUUGUCUUUGAACCAUGCCAGGGGCAGAUGAUGGUAACGAAACACCACAUACACCUCGCACUAAGGGUAUCAUACAACAUUUUGAUAGGAAAGUGAAGCUGCACACAGAGGGACUUGAUAACGACUUGCAGGUGACAAAUGAAAAGCUGGGGCAGUUGGAGGCUACGCAGAUUGCUGCUCUCCUAAGGCGAUUUGAUGAUUUCCACACCGAAGAUAAAGAGAUGCAUAAAGAAGAAAAGGAGGGAGAUCGAGAGCAUGGUAGUCAUGAAGAUGACUACACUGGUGAUACUGAACAUGAUGAUCAAGACACUCGUGAUCGACGUCGCCUUCGUCACAACCGUAGAGGUAUGGGUGGCAACCGCCGAUGCGAGGUACACAAUAAUGAUGAUGCUUUCAGUAAGAUUAAAUUUAAGAUACCUCCUUUUGAUGGUAAAUAUGACCCUGGUGCUUACAUCACUUGGGAGAUUGCUGUUGAUCAAAAGUUUGCAUGUCAUGAAUUUCCUGAGACUACACGUGUUAGGGCUGCUACUAGUGAGUUUACAGAUUUUGCUUCUGUUUGGUGGAUAGAAUAUGGAAAGAAAAAUCCUAAUAACUUACCUAGAACUUGGGAUGCGCUGAAAAGGGCCAUGAGAGCUAGAUUUGUUCCAUCUUACUAUGCGCGUGAUAUGAUAAAUAAGUUGCAGCAAUUAAGACAAGGUGCUAAAAGUGUAGAAGAAUAUUAUCAGGAAUUACAAACGGGUAUGUUGCGUUGUAACCUAGAGGAGGAUGAGGAACCGGCUAUGGCUAGAUUUUUGGGUGGGUUAAAUCGGGAAAUUCAGGACAUCCUCGCUUACAAAGAAUACAAUAAUGUAACCCGUUUGUUUCAUCUUGCUUGUAAAGCUGAAAGGGAAGUGCAGGGACGACGUGCUAGCGCAAGGAGUAAUAUUUCUGCAGGGAAGGCUAAUUCAUGGCAGCAACGCAUGGCUUCAACUCCAUCUACACGUAUUUCUACUCCAUCAUCUAGUGACAAGACUCGAGCUGCCCCCACCAAUUCAGUUGCGAAGACGAUGCAAAAGCCUGCUGCGAGUACUUCAUCCGUGGCAUCGACGGGUAGAACAAGCAACAUACAAUGUCACCGGUGCAAGGGAUAUGGGCACAUGAUGCGUGACUGUCCAAACAAGCGAGUUAUGAUUGUCAGGGAUGAUGGUGAGUACUCAUCUGCUAGUGAUUUUGAUGAGGAUACGCUUGCACUGCUUGCGACUGACCAUGCAGGUAAUGAAGAUCAAAUAGAAGAACAUAUUAAUGCAGGUGAAGCGGACCACUAUGAGAGCUUGAUCGUGCAGUGAGUGCUUAGUGCACAAAUGGAGAUGGCGGAGCAAAAUCAGCGACACAUUUUAUUCCAAACAAAGUGUGUCAUCAAAGAGCGUUCUUGUCGCAUGAUCAUUGAUGGAGGUAGCUGCAACAACUUAGCAAGCAGCGAUAUGGUGCAGAAGCUUGCCCUCAACACCAAACCACACCCGCAUCCCUACUACAUCCAAUGGCUGAACAACAGUGGUAAGGCAAAGGUAACUAGACUUGUGAGAAUUAAUUUUUCCAUCGGAUCCUACAAAGAUAUUGUUUAAUGUGAUGUUGUGCCUAUGCAAGCUUGUAACAUUCUGCUAGGUAGACCUUGGCAAUUUGAUAGAGAUUCUAUGCAUCAUGGUAGAUCAAAUCAGUAUUCUUUUCUAUACCAUGAUCGCAAAAUUGUGUUGCAUCCUAUGUCCCCUGAAACUAUUAUGCAAACUGAUGUUGCUAGGGCUACUAAAGCAAAGGGCGAGAGCAAUAAAAAUGAUAAAUCUGUAAUUGGUAACAAAGAUGAGAUAAAACUGAAAGGACAUUGUAUGAUAGCUACCAAAUCAGAUAUUAAUGAGUUCAAUGCAUCCACUUCUGUUGCUUAUGCUGUGAUAUGCAAGGAUGCUUUGAUUUCAAUUGAGGAUAUGCAAUGUUCUUUGCCCCCUGCUGUUGCUAACGUUUUGCAGGAGUAUUCUGAUGUGUUUCCAAGUGAGGUACCAGCGGGGCUGCCUCCACUACGUGGGAUUGAGCACCAAAUUGAUCUUAUUCCUGGAGCAGUUUUGCCAAAUCGUGCACCAUACAGGACAAACCCGGAGGAAACAAAGGAAAUUCAGCGACAAGUGCAAGAACUACUAGACAAAGGUUAUGUCCGAGAAUCUCUUAGUCCUUGUGCUGUUCCAGUAAUUUUAGUGCCUAAGAAAGAUGGAACAUGGCGUAUGUGUGUUGAUUGUAGAGCUAUUAAUAAUAUCACCAUUCGAUAUCGACACCCUAUUCCACGAUUAGAUGAUAUGCUAGAUGAACUGAGUGGUGCUGUUGUGUUUUCAAAAGUUUAUUUACGUAGUGGGUACCACCAGAUUCGUAUGAAAUUGGGAGAUGAAUGGAAAACUGCUUUCAAAACUAAGUUCGGUUUGUAUGAGUGGUUAGUCAUGCCUUUUGGGUUAACUAAUGCACCUAGUACUUUCAUGAGAUUAAUGAACGAGGUCUUGCGUGCUUUCAUUGGGAAAUUUGUUGUCGUAUAUUUUGAUGACAUAUUGAUUUACAGCAAAUCAUUGGAUGAACAUCUUGAUCAUUUACGUGCUGUUUUUAAUGCACUACGCGAGGCACGUUUAUUUGGUAACCUUGAGAAGUGCACCUUUUGCACCGAUCGAGUGUCUUUUCUUGGUUAUGUUGUGACUCCACAGGGAAUUGGGGUUGAUCAAGCCAAGGUGGAAGCUAUACAGGGAUGGCCUGUCCCAAAUACUAUCACCCAGGUGCGAAGUUUCCUAGGACUUGCUGGAUUCUAUCGCUGUUUUGUGAAGGAUUUCAGCACCAUUGCUGCACCAUUGAAUGAGCUUACAAAGAAGGGGGUGCCUUUUGAUUGGGGCAAAGCACAAGAGAAUUCAUUCAACAUGUUGAAAGAUAAGUUAACUCAUGCACCUCUCCUACAACUUCCUGAUUUUAAUAAGACUUUUGAGCUUGAAUGUGAUGCUAGUGGAAUUGGUUUGGGAGGUGUUUUAUUACAAGAGGCAAAACCUAUUGCAUAUUUUAGUGAGAAAUUGAGUGGGCCUGUUCUCAAUUAUUCAACUUAUGAUAAAGAACUCUAUGCUCUUGUUAGAACAUUAGAGACAUGGCAGCAUUAUUUGUGGCCCAAAGAGUUUAUUAUCCAUUCUGAUCAUGAAUCUUUGAAACAUAUUCGUAGUCAAGGAAAACUGAAUCGUAGGCAUGCAAAGUGGGUUGAAUUUAUUGAAUCUUUUCCUUAUAUUAUUAAGCACAAGAAAGGGAAGGAAAAUAUUAUUGCUGAUGCUUUAUCAUGGAGAUAUACUUUGCUGAAUCAACUUGAUUACAAGAUAUUUGGGUUAGAAACAAUUAAAGACCAAUAUGUUCAUGAUGCUGAUUUUAGAGACGUGUUGCUGCAUUGUAAAGAUGGAAAAGGGUGGAAUAAAUUCAUCGUUAGUGAUGGGUUUGUGUUUAGAGCUAACAAGCUAUGCAUUCCAGCUAGCUCUGUUCGUUUGUUGUUGUUGCAGGAAGCGCAUGGAGGUGGCUUGAUGGGACAUUUUGGAGCAAAGAAGACCGAGGACAUACUUGCUGGUCAUUUCUUUUAGCCCAGGAUGAAGAGAGAUGUGGAGAGGUUUGUUGCUCGUUGCACAACAUGUCAAAAGGCAAAGUCACGGUUAAAUCCCCACGGUUUGUAUUUACCUCUUCCUGUUCCUAAUGCUCCUUGGGAGGAUAUAUCUAUGGAUUUUGUGUUGGGACUACCAAGUACUAGGAGGGGACGUGAUAGUGUGUUUGUGGUUGUUGAUAGAUUUUCUAAGAUGGCACAUUUCAUACCAUGUCAUAAAACUGAUGAUGCUACAAAUAUUGCUGAUUUGUUCUUUCGAGAAAUUGCUCGCUUACAUGGUGUGCCCAACACAAUUGUUUCUGAUCGUGAUGCUAAAUUUCUUAGUCAUUUUUGGAAGACUUUGUGGUUCAAAUUGGGGACUAAGCUUUUAUUUUCCACCACUUGUCAUCCCCAAACUGAUGGUCAAACUGAAGUUGUUAAUAGAACUUUAUCCACUAUGUUAAGGGCUGUUUUAAAGAAGAAUAUUAAGAUGUGGGAAGAAUGUUUGCCUCAUGUUGAGUUCGCCUAUAAUCGUUCAUUGCAUUCUACUACAAAAAUGUGUCCUUUUGAGAUUGUCUAUGGCUUCUUGCCACGUGCUCCUAUUGAUUUAAUGCCUUUGCCAAGUUCUGAAAAAAUAAAUUUUGAUGCUAAGCAACGUGCUGAAUUGAUGUUAAAAUUGCAUGAAGCCACUAAACAAAAUAUAGAGCGCAUGAAUGCUAAGUACAAAUGCGCUGGAGAUAAAGGUAGAAAGCAAUUGAUUCUGGAACCUGGGGAUUUGGUUUGGUUGCAUUUGCGAAAAGAUAGAUUUCCAGAACUGAGAAAAUCCAAAUUGAUGCCUAGAGCUGAUGGUCCUUUUAAAGUGCUGCAACGAAUUAAUGAGAAUGCAUAUAAGCUUGAUCUUCCUGCAGAUUUUGGGGUUAGUCCCACAUUUAACAUUGCAGAUUUGAAGCCUUAUUUGGGUGAGGAAGAUGAGCUUGAGUCGAGGACGACUCAAAUGCAAGAAAGGGAGGAUGAUGAGGACAUCAACACCAGCGAUACAUAUCCUACAUCCACCAGCGAUACAUAUCCUACAUCCUCUCCGACACAACCUAUAGCUGGUCCUCUUACUCGUGCUCGUGCCCGUCAACUCAACCUUCAAGUAAGUUCAGCUUUAAACUCUUGUCAAUCAUAUUUAGACAAUGGAGACACGUGCACUUUCCUGUUGCUCAGGAUUAAUGGACAAGAUCAGCAAGGGAAGGUUCAACUGCAUUCAGAAUUUGAGGCAACACCAACUUCAAGGGCUGAUUGCAUAUGGGAAGAGUGAUAACUUAACAAAGGUGAUUGGAGAUCAGGUCCAAGCCUCCACAACAUCCUCUAUCAAGUUACCUCGUUGUUUCUAAAGCAAGGAAACAAAGAGUCCAAACCCAACACGUUUUGGGAGUUGGAUUCGGACUGGAAAAUAACUCUAACUUGUAUGGAUCACCACGGCGUCAUAUGGACUCCAACUGGGACGUUCCUAUACUUGUUGGAAAGCUCAUGAAGUCUACUUUCCAAUGGGUCCAACCACAUAUCUAUGCAGCUUAUGAGUCGGGCGCAGUCCUUGUUUUCGUGCCGACACCUUUUUCUGUUUUGGUGCUGCGUCACCCUAUUUUGGACCAAUGGCCCAUGUAUCAAGUUGAGUCCAUUAGGGACGCGUCCUAGGGUUGGAGGAUGACUCUAGCACCCCUUUGGUCGUCCUCCCCUCUAUUUAUUUACAUCUAGAGCCGCCAUGAACAACUGGGUUUUGUUUAGAUCAAGUUUAGCCUUCGCUACUUGCUUGUAGGCGCGCGUGCAGGAUCAGCCGCCCGCCUCCUUGUCUUCGGAACCCCAUUGUUGAUUAAGAUUCAGUUUAAAACCUUCAAUUCAUCUUGCAAAUUCAGUGCUUGUUUCCUCGUUCUUGCUAGUCCUUCGAUUGCUUGCAGGACGGGAGACCUAGGGGCUGGUUGUCGCGCUCCGCAGGAUCGUGACGGCUGUUGGACGUGGUGUAUCGGUUGCUAAGGCGCGGUCUUGAGGGCUGUAGUCGGGCCGUGAACGUCAUCUCCAUCCACUAAUCGAGUUAUCCAGCGCCUCUCAUCGAAAGAUCAGGCCAAAAACCCUAGCGGGUUCGCAUCAUAGGUGCACAGUUUGCACCUAAUGCACCAUAGUCUAAGAAACCAUUUUGGACGCACUUGUUGGUACUCCUAGGUGAAGGGGCUCAAGUGGAUGCUCGGUUCGAUCUAUUUGGAGAUAGUGCUAAUCUUGAUGCAAGAUAGAUGCAUGGUCUGCAUGGAACGUACCAUAUGCUUAGAAAUUAAUUUGGACACACCCGAUAGAACUCUUUGAUGACGUGUGUCAUAUGGAAUCUCGCUUUGGUGUGCUUAGAGAUAGUAUUAGUUUUGGUGCAAGAUAUGUGCACGGUUUGCGCCUAAUGCACCAAAGUCUAAGAAACCAUUUUGGAAGCACCUGUUGGUACUCCUAGGUGAAGAGGCUCAAGUGGAGGCUCGGUUUGGUCUGUUUAGAGAUAGUGCUAAUCUUGAUGCAAGAUAGGUGCACGAUUUGCAUGGAACAUACCAUAUGCUCAGAAAUCAAUUUGGACGCACCAGAUGCAACUCCUAGAUGACAUGUGUCGUAUGGAAUCUCACUUCGGUCCGUUUAGAGACAGUGUUAGUUUCAGUGCAAGAUAGGUGCACGGUUUGCACCUAAUGCACCAUAGGAUAAGAAACUGUUUUGGACGCACCCGAUGGUACUCCUAGGUCAAGGGGCUAAAGUGAAAGCUCGGUUUGGUUUGUUUGGAGAUAGUGCUAAUCUUGAUGCAAGAUAGAUGCACGUUUUGCAUGGAACAUACGAUAUGCUCCGAAAUCAAUUAGGACGCACCUGAUAUAACUCCUUGAUGAUGUGUGUCAUAUGGAAUCUUGCUUCGGUUCGUUUAGAGACUGUUAGUUUUCGGUAGAAGAUAUGUGCAUGGUUUACGCCUAAUGCACCAUAAGCUAAGAAACCAUUUUAGACGCACUCGAUGGUACUCGUAGUUGAAGAGGCUCAAGUGGAGGCUCGAUUUGGUCUGUUCGGAUAUAGUGCUAAUCUUGACGCAAGAUAGUUGCACAGUUUGAAUGGAACGUACCGUAUGUUAAGAAAUCAAUUUGGACGCACCCAAUGGAACUCCUAGAUGACGUGUGUCAAAUGGAAUCUCGCUUCGCUCUAUUUGGAGACAAUGUUAGUUUCGAUGCAGAUAGGUGCAUAGUUUGUGCGUCAUGCACCAUAGUCUAAGAAACCAUUUUUGACGCACCUGUUGGUACUCCUAGAUGAAGAGGCUCAAGUGGAAGCUCCGUUCGGUCUGUUUGGAGAUAGUGCUAAUCUUGAUGCAAGAUAGGUGCACGGUUUGCAUGGAACAUACAAUAUGCUUGGAAAUCAAUGUGGAUGCACCCGAUGGAACUCCUUGAUGACGUGUGUCAUAUGGAAUCUCGCUUUGGUCUGUUUAGAAACAGUGUUAGUUUCGGUGCAAGAUAUGUGCAUGGUUUGUGCUUACUGCACCAUAGUCUAAGAAACCAUUUUGGAAGCACCUGUUGGUACUUCGGUGAAGAGGCUCAAGUGGAAGCUCGGUUUGAUCUGUUUGGAGAUAGUGCUAAUCUUGAUGCAAGAUAGGUGCAUGAUUUGCAAGGAACAUACCAUAUGCUUAAAAAUCAAUUUGGACGCACCCAAUGGAACUCCUAGAUGACGUGUGUCAUAUGGAAUCUUGCUUUUGUCCGUUUGUAGACAUUGUAAGUUUUAGUGCAAGAUAAUUGCAUAGUUUGCGCCUAAUGCACCAUAGUCUAAGAAACCAUUUUGGACGCACUAUUUGGUACUCUUGGAUGAAGAGGCCCAAGUGGAAGCUUGGUUCGGUCAGUUUGGAGAUAGUUCUAAUACUUAUGCAAGGUAGGUGCAUGCUUUGCAUGGAACAUACCAUAUGCUUGGAAAUCAAUUUGGAUGCACCCGAUGGACCUCCUUGAUGACGUGUGUCAUAUGGAAUCUUGAUUCGGUCCAUUUGGAGAUAUUGUUAGUUUUGGUGCAAGGUAGGUGCACAGUUUGCACCUAAUGCACCAUAGUCUAAGAAACCAUUUUGGACGCACUUGUUGGUACUCCUAGGUGAAGGGGCUCAAGUGGAUGCUCGGUUCGAUCUAUUUGGAGAUAGUGCUAAUCUUGAUGCAAGAUAGAUGCAUGGUCUGCAUGGAACGUACCAUAUGCUUAGAAAUUAAUUUGGACACACCCGAUAAAACUCUUUGAUGACGUGUGUCAUAUGGAAUCUCGCUUUGGUGUGCUUAGAGAUAGUAUUAGUUUCGAUGCAAGAUAUGUGCACGGUUUGCGCCUAAUGCACCAAAGUCUAAGAAAUCAUUUUGGAAGCACCUGUUGGUACUCCUAGGUGAAGAGGCUCAAGUGGAGGCUCGGUUUGGUCUGUUUAGAGAUAGUGCUAAUCUUGAUGCAAGAUAGGUGCACGAUUUGCAUGAAACAUACCAUAUGCUCAGAAAUCAAUUUGGACGCACCAGAUGGAACUCCUAGAUGACAUGUGUCGUAUGGAAUCUCACUCUGGUCCGUUUAGAGACAGUGUUAGUUUUAGUGCAAGAUAGGUGCACGGUUUGCACCUAAUGCACCAUAGGAUAAGAAACCGUUUUGGACGCACCCGAUGGUACUCCUAGGUCAUGGGGCUAAAGUGAAAGCUCGGUUUGGUCUGUUUGGAGAUAGUGCUAAUCUUGAUGCAAGAUAGAUGCACGGUUUGCAUGGAACAUACGAUAUGCUCAGAAAUCAAUUAGGACGCACCUAAUAUAACUCCUUGAUGAUGUGUGUCAUAUGGAAUCUUGCUUCGGUUCGUUUAGAGGCUGUUAGUUUUGGUAGAAGAUAUGAGCAUGGUUUACGCCUAAUGCACCAUAAGAUAAGAAACCAAUUUAGACGCACAUGAUGGUACUCAUAGUUGAAGAGGCUCAAGUGGAGGCUCGAUUUGGUCUGUUCGGAUAUAGUGCUAAUCUUGAUGCAAGAUAGUUGCACAGUUUGAAUGGAACGUACCAUAUGUUAAGAAAUCAAUUUGGACGCACCCAAUGGAACUCCUAGAUGACGUGUGUCACAUGGAAUCUCGCUUCGCUCUGUUUGGAGACAAUGUUAGUUUCGAUGCAGAUAGGUGCAUAGUUUGUGCGUAAUGCACCAUAGUCUAAGAAACCAUUUUUGACACACCUGUUUGUACUCCUAGAUGAAGAGGCUCAAGUGGAAGCUCGGUUCGGUCUGUUUGGAGAUAGUGCUAAUCUUGAUGCAAGAUAGGUGCACGGUUUGCAUGGAACAUACAAUAUGCUUGGAAAUCAAUGUGGAUGGACCCGAUGGAACUCCUUGAUGACGUGUGUCAUAUGGAAUCUCGCUUUGGUCUGUUUAGAAACAGUGUUAGUUUCGGUGCAAGAUAUGUGCAUGGUUUGUGCCUACUGCACCAUAGUCUAAGAAACCAUUUUGGAAGCACCUGUUGGUACUUCGGUGAAGAGGCUCAAGUGGAAGCUCGGUUUGAUCUGUUUGGAGAUAGUGCUAAUCUUGAUGCAAGAUAGGUGCAUGAUUUGCAAGGAACAUACCAUAUGCUUAAAAAUCAAUUUGGACGCACCCAAUGGAACUCCUAGAUGACGUGUGUCAUAUGGAAUCUUGCUUUUGUCCGUUUGUAGACAUUGUAAGUUUUAGUGCAAGAUAAUUGCACAGUUUGCGCCUAAUGCACCAUAGUCUAAGAAACCAUUUUGGACGCACUAUUUGGUACUCUUGGAUGAAGAGGCCCAUGUGGAAGCUUGGUUCGGUCAGUUUGGAGAUAGUGCUAAUACUUAUGCAAGGUAGGUGCACGAUUUGCAUGGAACAUACCAUAUGCUCAGAAAUCAAUUUGGACGCACCAGAUGGAACUCCUAGAUGACAUGUGUCGUAUGGAAUCUCACUUCGGUCUGUUUAGAGACAGUGUUAGUUUCUGUGCAAGAUAGGUACACUGUUUGCACCUAAUGCACCAUAAUAUAAGAAACCGUUUUGGACGGACUCGAUGGUACUCCUAGGUCAAGAGGCUAAAGUGAAAGCUCGGUUUGGUCUGUUUGGAGAUAGUCUAAUCUAAUCUUGAUGCAAGAUAGAUGCACGGUUUGCAUGGAACAUACAAUUUGCUCAGAAAUCAAUUAGGACGCACCUGAUAUAACUCCUUGAUGAUGUGUGUCAUAUGGAAUCUUGCUUCGGUUCAUUUAGAGACUGUUAGUUUUGGUAGAAGAUAUGUGCAUUGUAACACCCUAGGUGUUAAGCAUGCACUUAGUCUUACCAAAGCAUGCAUAAGCAUUCUCAUCAAUCAUAGCAUCACAUGAGCAUGUCAUCCAUCCAAAAAUGUGAUUUUAUGUGCUUUAUUCUAUGUGAUUUAAAUGUGUUAAAAAUAUGAUGCUUGCUUCUAAAAUUGUGAAAUAUUCAAACUAGGUUGAAUUGUGUGCAAGAAGAUUUAAGAAUGUUUUUGUACAAUUUUUGGAGCCAUAGAAUUUGAGAAAUGGAAUUUAUACAAAAUUCCCCAAAAUGAAUUUAUUUGAAAACCUAGAAGUAGUUUUAAUUUGUAAUUCAAAUUCUAAUUGGAAUUUGAUCUUGCUUAUUAAAACAAAGUGGUAGGAUUUUUAUCUUGGAACAACUUUCAUUUUGGGAGAAAAGGGUGAAAAUGAUUUUAAAGUGGUCCAAAUAAAUUUAGAAAGAAUUGGAGAAAAGAAUUUCAAAAAAAAGAAAAGGGGACAGGCGCUGCUGGGCCAACCCGCCUCCCUUUCGGCCCAGCCAGCAGCCCGGCCUGCCUCCCCCUCCCCUCUCUCUCCCGCGCGCGGUGCCCGCCUCGCCCCAUCCAGCGACGGCCACGUGGCGGCCGCACGCCGGCGUUGGGCGCGCCGCGGCCGGCCACCUCCACCCCCCUGGUCGGGACGCCGACCCACGCCCCCAGACCACUCCCUCCAUUCUGUCGCCCGUGCCUCUCCCUCCUCCCUCCGUCCGCGCAGCAGCAACAGCCGCAGUUCCGCCGCGCGCCAUUGCCGGAGCAAGCCCCGCCGCUCGCCGCCGGCCGCACCAGAGCUUUAAGCUCGACGCCAAGAGCACCAGCGCACUCGCCGUCGCCGCGGUAAGCCCCUGCGUGCGCUCUACCGAGGUGAGAAGCAGCCGUGCACCGUGAAUCGCUCACCGGAGUGCCUCUGCGGGUGUGGAUCUGGGUGCGUUUAGCAUUUUGCGUCGGUUUUCUUAAAUAAAUGUUUUCCAGAAAUUGAUUUAAAACUUGUAAAAUCCAUAUCUUGAGUUCUACAGCUCCAAAUCUGGUGAAAUAAAUUUUGGUGUGCUCUCUAUUCUCAGAUCUACAGUUUGAUGUAAUUGCAUGUGAUGUUUGAAUAACUUUUCUGUAUAAAUAUAUUUAAUUCAUGUUUUUGCUGGAUUUGGAAAAUGCAUAGUAAAUAAAAUAUGACUCAGAAAAAUGUGAAACUUGUUUUGUUGGCUCUGCAUGUAUGUUUAGUCACUUUGGAAAAUGUUGCUACACAUUAUUUGGUGUAUAAAUGAAUUUAUAGUGAUUUAAAUGCUUGCAUGGUAGUGGUUUAUGAUUUUUAAUAAAAAUUUGGAUCAUGCAAUUAAUCUGGUAAUUUUUGUGGGUGUUUCUGAUGAUAUUAGGCAAAUUAUAAAAAUAUGAAAUCUGCUGUUUGACACUUAUACCAGAGUAGAGUAAUUGUACUUGCCUUUAUUAAUUAAUCUUGUGAUUUUUGUAGCUCAAAAUAAGUGUCCAAAAAUUAUGAAAAAUUUGUUGUGGACUUUAUGUUUGACUGGUAGUCUCCUGUAAAUUUUUGUGGAAUUUAUUGAUAAACAGAAAUGCAUGCUAAUUUUGAUGGGCCUAGAAAUGAAUAAAGAAAUUAUGAAUUGUUAUAUAUGGGUUAAAUAGAAUAAAAGGGGUUUGGUGUAUCUUUGAAGCAUCUUGUGAGUUGCUGGUUACACUUGAAGACAAUUUUUAGAAGAGAAUGGAAUAGAUGUUUAAUUCAAUUGCAUGUUCUUGGAUGAUGUUGACUACCUUGUAAAUGAUCACAUAAAUCAUCCAUACAUCAUGUCAUAGUCAUCUGGUAUUCUCUCGCAUGAGCAUUUCACCCCGGGCAUCUCGCACUCAACUCAUGAGCACACAUGCAUCAUACAGGCUCGCAAGAGAACGAGGUGGGACCUGAGGAGCCAGAGGAGACCCAGGAGCAGGAACCUCUGGGAGCACCGAAACCCGAAGAAAAGCUACAGGAGUGUCCGGAUCACAGACCCAGCACGUUUGAGAAAGGCAAGCCCCGGAGCAUUCUAAGUCUCCCUAUUCUCGCUAACUUACAUGAUAUAUUAUGCUUGUUCUACUAUAUUGCAUUUAAGUGAUAGGAAUUGGUUGAUACUGUUGAUGCAUAUGUACUCUUUGAUAUCACCAUCCGUUUAUCUGCCUUGUCCUAUGUAGAUAGGCACGGAGUCUGUGCUUAGCUUGCUUAGCCCGGUAGAAGUCGUGUGAUCUCCUGUCACCAGCGAGAUAUAGUUGGAUACCUGCUUGAUUAACCGGUGAUUGCUUUGGGAAAAGAAUAACCAAGUGUGGAGUGGAAAUUUGAGACCGGGCAGGGUCUUAUGGUGGGUUGACUAUAGUGCCCCUGCCUGUGUCGAUUAAGGACCGAUCGUUGACGGCCCUCUGGUCAUGUUGAACACAUGCCCCACAUUUAGCUGGAAGGAUAAGUCGUUCCGACCGCGAAGCCUGAGCACUAUCCUGGCCGGGAAUCGGCCCGAUGUACGUGCUGUUUGGUGAUGGUUGAGGAGAACGAUGAGGGCGCGGCGCGCAACCUUGGUAUACCUUGGAUACCUCGGUCGCCGGAACAGUCCUCGGGUACGGGCGCUUCCUGUCGAGCCCACGAAUUGGUCCUGGAUAGUGCAAUACGGUGAUCUGUAGCUCACUUGAUUAGUGAGUGUGGUUUGUGUGGGGAAUAAACUCGUCAGCUGGUUAGAAAUCGAUUCGAAUCGCCAUCGCUCCUGGAUAGUGAGCACUUGACUUGAGCCCUGUCCUCGUAGUAAGGACUAUGGAACACUUGGGUUAUAAUGAUAAAUGGUUUUAUGAAUGCUAUGAUGAGGUACCAUCAUAUCACUAUACUUGCUUGUAAUAGUGCAGGUGCAAACCUAGAUAAUAGGUAAUGAUACUUUCAACUUGAGCAAAUUAAAAGAAGAAAGAUUUAUGUAGGUUAUGUUAAUAGAAUCUUGUUGUUAUGCAAAAAGGUUGUCAGCUACCCCACUAUAUAGCCUUCAUGAUCCUUGAAGAGUCUUUAUUUUGAGUUUAUGACGGGUAAGUCUAGCUGAGUACAUUCUCGUACUCAGGGUUCUACUCCCAUGUUGUUUUGCAGAUGGUCAAAUGUACUAUGGUUAUUGCAUCCUAUGCCUGUACCCAGCUAUGGGUGAUGACUAGACCAAGGGCGAUGGUCACUCCGUCUUUUCUUUUGUUGUUGUGGGAAUGACCAAAACUAUGGCACUGUAUCAGACUAAGUGUGUGUGUGUGUUAUUUUCAACUAUGAAGCUUCCGCUACCUGUGAACUUGGUUUGUAAUAACUUUAAGCACUCCGAUGUUUCCGAUGAAUGUUUUCAAACUGGAUGUAACUGUGAAUGGUGACCGCUGAACUUAUUACGAUCUUGGUUGUAUGUAUGAUAUGUGGUUUGAAAUCCUUCGAGAUUUCACGGACUACCGGGAUUAUAUGGGUUUAAGCUGGAUGGUUUGACUAUGCAAAUGGUCGCUAUCAGGCUUAAUCUCUUAUAAUUUGGGCGGUUCUGUUACAGCUGGUAUCGGAGCAAGGUUUAGCGAGUUACUGUUCAUAAGUACGUUCUGAACUAAAUCUAAACCGGUUUAAUAAAAGAUUCUUAUUAAUGAUAAUCAAGGUGUCAACUAAGUUUUUGGAAAAACUAUCUCGUGUGCCAUGGUCAUAUCCUUUAUGCCCAGUUAAGGACUCUAAGGUGGCUAGUUAAGUACUGACUUGGGGGUUAAUGCAUCAUAUUUCUAUUUCGUCGCUCAUACGGCGUGCAAUAGUAUGAGUACCAUUCAUUUGAGUGGUAAUGUAUGGAUCAAUUUUUCCUCUACGCCCCGGUAAGUGGGAGCUGUGAGAGCAUGAUCAGAUACACUGCCGGUCUAGGGGAGUGUUGUUAGGUGCUGUGUCAUGCACACAUGUUUUGGUGUGCUUGGGAAUAGUACCACAUGUUGGGAGUUCCGUCCUGAGAGGCGAUGCCGUCAUUAGGGCGAUGAUGUGGGUAGUAACACAUCAUAUGCAUGGAUGGGUGUCUGUGUAUGUGGGGUGUAUAGCUUUAAAUUCUUGUUCUGCAUGAUCAUACUAUGGGUGGGCUGAAAUGAGUUUUUUGCAGGUACACUAACCACGUUAGAGCGCUAGUUACGUUAUGAGGGAACGCUGUGUGCCACCGCAUAUACCGCUUAGUGUUAACUUUUGUUUCUAAGUUUGUGAGAUCGUAAGUUCAUGCAGGCAUCAUGUUCAUUUCAUAUCAUUGCUUACUUUACCCCUUAAGUUAAUUUGUCCCAAUUCUAAAUAAAAUAAUUAAAGAUAAUCCUCAAUCUUACCCAAGGUAUUCCCUUUGCAGCAGAUGGCACGCACUAGGCUCACCGCUUGUAAGUCCACUGGUGGGCGGGCCCCUCGCCAUCCGUUGGCAGCCAGGAGCUCACGACAUAAGAGCAAGUUCCUGGAGGAGUUUGGGAUGCCUACUUUCCUUUGGAGGGUGCUCAGUUCGAUGGGGUAUCCCAAAGGAAGGGAGCCUCGCUACUAUUGGGACAAGGAGCAGCUUGGUGACGGGACCCUGGUGGGGAUCGAGGCAGUGGUUCCUACCAGUGGAGGUGACCCCGCCUGGGGCGGCUGGGUGUACGAGUCCCGAGGUGCCACGCCCUUCCACGAUGCCAGCAGGGCAGCUUUCGCCGUUCUGAGGGACCUCAUGGAGAGGUUUUCACAGGUGCUGGCCCACGCCUUCACUGGGGUGUUUCCCCGGGGUGACCCCUACACUUCGGUGUGGGAUCAGUCCGAGGUGAACGCUCUAGAGAGGAGUGCGGAUGAGGACCAGCACAGUGACAACACAGCUAUGAGUGCUAUGUACGCUUUGAUGAAGACCUAUGGAGGCCUGGAGCAUUGUUUGGGUCGCUUGUCCGGGUCUCUUCUCACUGUCCAGGAUGAGAAGGGCCUGCUGCAGCGUGAGUUCGACACUGAGGUUGAGAGGCUGCAGGCAGAGUUGGCCCGCGUGACCCGAGAGAGGGACCAGGCGGUCCAGAAGAACAGUGAGCUGAGCCAGGACUUGCUUGCAGUGCGAGAGCAGAGAGACAGGGUGACUACUGCUCACAGGAACUGCGAGCACAUGCUAGUCCAUGUGCUUGGUCAGAGGAAUGAAGCCUGGCACGAGGAGGACACUUUGAGGGCCCGACAGCUAGAGCUUGAGCAGCAGCUAGCUAAUGCUGAGGAGUACAAUGAGAACUUGCAUGAGGAGAUCCACCAGCUGCAUAAUCAGCUCCACCCUCACCCCCUGCCUAGAGCAGCUAAGCUAGACUCUGAGGACGAGAUGGAUGUGGAUCCCGAGAUAGGAGCAGCUGCUAGUGGAGAUGAAGACGAGGAGGGCUCCGGCAUGGACAGUGACCAUAGCGAGUAGAUGCUAGGGCUCUAGAGCUAGUCCUUCUUCUUUUGUUGUUGUUGUUGCAUGGCAUGUCUUGUACUUUUGGAUCUGGGCUAUAUAAAACUUUAUGAGAUGACGCUGAAAGUCCAGUGUAUGUAUGCUAGCAAGUUUGGAUGUUUGCGAACAUUGUUGCUUGAAUGUUAAGUAAUCCGUUAGUGAUGUUGUGCGUGGAUGAUGAAUUGUUGUGCCUCUGUUUAUUGUGCGAAUUUAUUCCCUCAGUAAAUUCAGUACGACAUGAUUCUACACAAGUCUACCGUUGAUGGCAACUCCUAACAAUUGCUUAUCAUUGACGUAUGCAGAUGGUGCAAACACGUGGCGGGGGUAACAGCAACCCGGGUCUUGGAGCAGGUACAUCCGGAGGUGGGGCUCGACGGAAUGAGGACAGAGCACCAUCACCGCCACCACCACCACCUCCUCCGCAUACUACAGAUGUGUUUUUCGCGUAGUUUCUGGGGAGUCAACGCAACAUGGAACAAAUGCAGCGCAAUAUGGAAGAGGCCCUGCGCAACAUAGCGGACAACACCCGUCGUGGGGAUAACCAGGGCGGUCGUGAAGUCAAUCAGUACAGCUCUUUCAAAGACUUCAUGCAUACCAAGCCACCUGUCUUCAAGGAGGCUUUGGAACCGCUUGAGGCGGAUGAGUGGAUCAACACCAUGGAGCAGAAGUUUUGUCUUCUUCGGAUGACAGAAGAACUUAAGGCUAAGUAUGUGGCACACCAGUUGCAGGGACCCGCUGGGAUUUGGUGGUCCCAUCACCGUACUACCUACCCAGAGGGGACCCCAAUCACCUGGAACCGCUUCACCAUCGCUUUCCGAGGAAAUUACAUUCCUCCGGGUGUGGUGGAAAUGAAGGUUGGGGAGUUCAUGAGGCUGUCUCAGGGGACGAAAUCUGUAAAGGAGUAUCUACACGCUUUCAACAAUCUCGCUCGCUACGCCCCUGAGUUUGUGAACACAGAGGCCAAGAAGAUUGCUAGUUUCUAGAGAGGCUUGAAUCCAAAGAUGCUGAAGACCAUGGGUACAGGAGCCAGGGCUACCUUCAAUGCCUAUAUCAGUGACUGUCUAACCCAGGAAAACAAUAACAACAGCUAUAGUGCAUCCAAGUCACGUAAGAGGGCUUUUGAAGCCGGGUCAUCCCAGCCCAGGGCACCAGUGGCGGGGCGACAGCAGUAUCGUCCUCCUGCCCUAGGUGCUAGGUUCCGGCCGCUGCAGAGAAGGAACACCGGACAUCCAACGCAGCAGAAGCCGUACAAGGUGGCGAUAGCUCCUGCCAAGCCAAAGGCAAUUCAAGCUGCGGCACCUGCCGCCAACAAUGUGCCCAAGGGUCCGUGCUACAACUGCCACAAGAUGGGGCACUUUGCCAAGGAAUGUCCCUACCCCAAGAGGCAACAGCCAACCUAUCCAGCUCGUGUACACCAUACCUCGAUAGAGAAGAUUCCGGAAGGAGAACCGGUAACAGCUGGUAUGUUCCCUGUCAACCAACAUCUUGCAGUUGUUUUGUUUGAUUCUGGAUCAUCGCAUUCAUUCAUGAGCCAAGCAUUUGCACAAAAGCAUGACCAGCCAGUUACUGAGUUGGGUUAUGGCUAUCGCAUCAGCUCAGCCGGGGCUGAUGUGUUGACUAACAAAAUAGUAACAGGAGUUACCUUGGAUAUCAGUGGCCGAAGAUUUCGUGUAAACCUUGUGGUCAUGCCAGGGCUGGCUCUGGAUGUCAUCAUUGGAAUGAAUAAGAUGGCUGACUGGGGUGCAGUUAUAGAUGCCGGGAAUAGAACUCUUUCCCUCAAAGACCCGCAGGGGGAAGGUGUGCUUCAGGUCAAGCUACCCCGACGGUUAGACUUCGCUAGUCUUUCAUGUGCAGUACAGGUGGUUCCACUAGAACACAUACCCGUGGUAUGUGAGUUCCCUGAUGUUUUUCCCGAGGAAUUGCCAGGACUUCCUCCAGAUAGGGAAGUAGAGUUUGCAAUCGAGUUGAUACCAGGUACAGCACCAAUAUCUAGAAGGCCGUACCGGAUGCCACCAAACGAACUCGCUGAGUUGAAGAAUCAACUAAAGGAAUUACUGGAUAAAGGGUUCAUCUGUCCAAGUUCGUCAGAAUGGGGUUGUCCGGCGUUGUUUGUGAAAAAGAAGGAUCAAUCGUUGCGCAUGUGCGUGGACUAUCGUCCACUCAAUGCAGUGACAAUCAAGUAUAAGUAUCCUUUGCCAAGGAUCGAUAUCUUAUUUGAUCAGUUGUCCAAGGCAAAAGUGUUUUCCAAGAUAGAUUUGAGAUCUGGGUAUCAUCAAAUCAAGAUUCGCCCGCAAGAUAUCCCGAAGACUACUUUUUCCACCAGAUAUGGGUUGUAUGAGUAUCUGGUCAUGUCCUUUGGGUUGACGAAUGCUCCUGCAUACUUCAUGUAUCUGAUGAAUUCAGUCUUUAUGCCAGAGUUAGAUAAGUUUGUUGUGGUGUUUAUCGAUGAUAUCCUGGUUUAUUCAGAAAAUGAGCAAGAUCACACCGAGCAUCUGAGAAUCGUGUUAACACGAUUACGAGAACAUCAGUUAUAUGCCAAGUUCAGCAAGUGUGAGUUCUGGUUGAAGAAAGUUCCUUUCCUAGGGCACAUUCUGUCUCAAGAAGGGAUUGCUGUGGAUCCGUCAAAAGUGCAGGAAGUCAUGGACUGGAAGGCACCAACUUCUGUCUCGGAAGUUAGAAGUUUUCUUGGUCUGGCCGGGUAUUAUUGUCGUUUCAUACCUGACUUCUCCAAGAUUGCUAAGCCGAUGACUAGUUUGCUACAAAAAGAUCAUAAGUUUGUCUGGACGGAGGGGUGUGAGCUAGCCUUCCGCACCUUGCGAAAGUUGCUAACCACCACUCCCGUUCUGGCACAACCCAAUAUUGAGAAGCCUUUUGAUGUGUUUUACGACGCGUCGAAAAGUGGCUUGGGGUGUGUGUUGAUGCAAGAUGGCAGAGUGAUAGCUUACGCUUCACGACAGUUGAGAAUGCACGAAGUCAACUACCCAACUCACGACCUCGAGUUAGCAGCAGUAGUGCAUGCUUUGAAGAUUUGGAGACACUAUUUGCUGGGAAAUAAGUGUCAUAUCUAUACCGAUCAUAAGAGUUUGAAGUAUAUCUUCACUCAGUCCGAGCUGAAUAUGAGGCAACGACGGUGGUUAGAGUUAAUCAAGGAUUAUGAUCUGGAGGUUCACUAUCAUCCAGGCAAAGCUAAUGUGGUAGCAGAUGCAUUGAGUCGCAAACCGCACUAUCAGGUGAUUCAACCGUUGUUUGAAGAUGGUUUCAAUCUCAUGCAUCCUGAAGUCUUAUGUCACAUACAGCUCAGUUGUUCACUUGAGAGUCAAGUCAUUGAAGGUCAGAAAACAGACAAGGGUAUUUUCCACAUCAAAGAGAAGAUCAAAGCUGACCCAAAAACUCAGUUUCGAGUUGAUGAGAAAGGGGUAUUGUGGUUUCAACAUCGGUUAGUAGUCCCGAAAGAUCGUGAAUUGAAGAAUCGCAUCAUGGAUGAAGCCCAUCUCUCUAAGCUUUCUAUUCAUCCUGGCAGUAGUAAAAUGUAUCAAGACCUAUGACCCCACUUUUGGUGGACCAAAAUGAAGAAAGAAAUAGCCGCAUAUGUGGCCCGUUGUGACACGUGUUGCAGAGUUAAGGCCAUCCACAUGAAACCUGCAGGUCUGUUACAACCAUUAUCAGUUCCAGAGUGGAAAUGGGAAGAGGUCAGUAUGGACUUUAUCACAGGUUUACCAACGACGAGGAAGGGGAAUGACUCGAUUUGGGUAAUCAUAGAUUGAUUGACUAAGUCGGCUCAUUUCAUUCCUGUGAAAACUCGUUACCGACCUCCUGAGUAUGCUGAUAUUUAUAUCGCAGAGAUCAUCAAGUUACAUGGCAUUCCCAAAACCAUCAUAUCGGAUAGAGGACCAUAGUUCACCGCUCACUUUUGGGAGCGAAUGCAUAAGAGUUUGGGGACCAGUCUAAUAAGAAGCACCGCGUAUCAUCCCCAGACCUCAGGUCAAACUGAGAGGCUAAAUCAAGUGUUAGAAGAUAUGUUGAGGGCCUGUGUACUAUCGUCCAAGGGAUCAUGGGAGUCAUGGUUACCUCUGGCUGAAUUCUCAUACAAUAACAGCUAUCAAGAGAGUAUCAAAAUGGCUCCGUUCGAAGCGUUGUAUGGUCGGAGAUGUAGAACUCCGUUAAACUGGGUUGAACCUGGUGAAAGGAGAUACUAUGGUAUCAACUUCGUGAACGAAGCGGAGAAAAAGGUGCAAAUCAUACGACAGCAUAUGCGGGCAGCCCAAUCACGACAAAAGAGUUAUGCUGAUAAGAGAAGAAGGCCACUUGAAUUCAAUAUAGGUGACUAUGUGUACCUCAAGGUUACGCCAAUGAAGAAAGUCCAACGUUUCCGAGUUCGAAGCAAGCUUGCACCCAGAUAUGUGGGACCGUACCAAAUACUAGAGAGGAAAGGCCCCGUGGCCUACAAGAUUCAGUUACUUGAAGAGUUGAGUUCAAUCUUUCCAGUCUUCCAUGUGUCCCAGCUACGGAAAUGUUUGAAAGUACCUGAGCAGAGGAUUGAACCUCGAGGGAUCAAAAUAAAAGCAGACUUAGAGUAUAAAGAGCAGCCAGUGGGGAUCGUAGAUACCAAGGAACGAGUAACCCAAAACAGAGUUGUCAAAACAUAAAGGUGGUGUGGAGUCAUCAUGACGAUAGGGAUGCCACCUGGGAAACCGAGGAUUAUCUAAAAAUAGUUUAUCCAAAAUUUCAUAAGAAAUGGUUAGUAACUCAAAUCUCGGGACGAGAUUUCCCUAAGGGGGGAAGGGCUGUAACACCCUAGGUGUUAAGCAUGCACUUAGUCUUACCAAAGCAUGCAUAAGCAUUCUCAUCAAGCAUAGCAUCACAUGAGCAUGUCAUCCAUCCAAAAAUGUGAUUUUAUGUGCUUUAUUCUAUGUGAUUUAAAUGUGUUAAAAAUAUGAUGCUUGCUUCUAAAAUUGUGAAAUAUUCAAACUAGGUUGAAUUGUGUGCAAGAAGAUUUAAGAAUGUUUUUGUACAAUUUUUGGAGCCAUAGACUUUGAGAAAGGGAAUUUAUACAAAAUUCCCCAAAAUGAAUUUAUUUAAAAACCUAGAACUAGUUUUAAUUUGUAAUUCAAAUUCUAACUGGAAUUUGAUCUUGCUUAUUAAAACAAAGUGGUAGGGUUUUUAUCUUGGAACAACUUUCAUUUUGGGAGAAAAGGGUGAAAAUGAUUUUAAAGUGGUCCAAAUGAAUUUAGAAAGAAUUGGAGAAAAGAAUUUCAAAAAAAAAGAAAAGGGGACAGGUGCUGCUGGGCCGACCCGCCUCCCUUUCGGCCCAGCCAGCAGCCCGGCCUGCCUCCCCCUCCCCUCUCUCUCCCGUGCGCGGCGCCCGCCUCGCCCCAUCCAGCGACGGCCACGUGGCGGCCGUACGCCGGCGUUGGGCGCACCGCGGCCGGCCACCUCCACCCCCCCUGGUCGGGACGCCGACCCGCGCCCCCAGACCACUCCCUCCGUUCUGUCACCCGCGCCUCUCCCUCCUCCCUCCGUCCGCGCAGCAGCAACAGCCGCAGUUCCGCCGCGCGCCAUUGCCGGAGCAAGCCCCGCCGCUCGCCGCCGGCCGCAGCAGAGCUUUAAGCUCGACGCCAAGAGCCCCAGCGCACUCGCCGUCGCCGCGGUAAGCCCCUGCGUGCGCUCUACCGAGGUGAGAAGCAGCCGUGCACUGUGAAUCGCUCACCGGAGUUGCUCUGACCUCGCCGGAGUGCUCCACCGCGACGGAUCUUGCUGUAUCCUGCCUCUUUUCGCUCGUUCUUUGGUGCACUAGGACGCUAGUGAGGUGAGGAAGCUCGGAGGGUCGUUUGCGCGCGCUCUACCGCACCAGAGCGGCCUGGCCACGGCGAGCAGCGCCGCCGUGCCACCAUGCACGCUCGUCGGAGGUGUUCCGGUCAUCCUCCGGCCAAUCCGAGGGUACCCCUGGAUGCGCCUCGCUGCGGGGAGCACGCUGGUGCUCACCCCGUGGCCGGAGACCUCGCCGUCGGCGAAAGCCGGCCGGCUGAAGCUCGGCCAGUGUGUUGCACGGCUGACCCGUGGGGUCACGGCCCCGGAUCCCACCUGUCGGCGCCUCUGCGGGUGUGGAUCUGGGUGAGUUUAGCAUUUUGCGUCGGUUUUCUUAAAUAAAUGUUUUCCAGAAAUUGAUUUAAAACUUGUAAAAUCCAUAUCUUGAGUUCUACAGCUCCAAAUCUGGUGAAAUAAAUUUUGGUGUGCUCUUUAUUCUCAGAUCUACAGUUUGAUGUAAUUCCAUGUCAUGUUUGAAUAACUUUUCUGUAUAAAUAUAUUUAAUCCAUAUUUUUGCUGGAUUUGGAAAAUGCAUAGUAAUUAAAAUAUGACUCAGAAAAAUGUGAAACUUGUUUUGUUGGCUCGGCAUGUAUGUUUAGUCACUAGGAAAAUGUUGCUACACAUUAUUUGGUGUAUAAAUGAAUUUAUAGUGAUUUAAAUGCUUGCAUGGCAGUGGUUUAUGAUUUUUAAUAAAAAUUUGGAUCAUGCAAUUAAUCUGGUAAUUUUUGUGGGUGUUUCUGAUGAUAUUAGGCAAAUUAUAAAAAUAUGAAAUAUGCUGUUUGACACUUAUACCAGAGUAGAGUAAUUGUACUUGCCUUUAUUAAUUAAUCUUGUGAUUUUUGUAGCUCAAAAUAAGUGUCCAAAAAUUAUGAAAAAUUUAUGGUGGACUUUAUGUUUGACUAGUAGUCUCCUGUAAGUUUUUGUGGAAUUUAUUGAUAAACAGAAAUGCAUGCUAAUUUUGAUGGGCCUAGAAAUGAAUAAAGAAAUUAUCAAUUGUUAUAUAUGGGUUAAAUAGAAUAAAAGGGGUUUGGUGUAUCUUUGAAGCAUCUUGUGAGUUGCUGGUUACACUUGAAGACAAUUUGUAGAAGAGAAUACAAUAGAUGUUUAAUUCAAUUGCAUGUUCUUGGAUGAUGUUGACUACCUUGUAAAUGAUCACAUAAAUCAUCCAUACAUCAUGUCAUAGUCAUCUGGUAUUCUCUCGCAUGAGCAUUUCACCCCGGGCAUCUCGCACUCCACUCAUGAGCACACAUGCAUCAUACAGGCUCGUAGGAGAACGAGGUGGGACCCGAGGAGCCAGAGGAGACCCAGGAGCAGGAACCUCUGGGAGCACCGGAACCCGGAGAAGAGCUACAGGAGUGUCCGGAUCACAGACCCAGCACGUUUGAGAAAGGCAAGCCCCGGAGCAUUCUAAGUCUCCCUAUUCUCGCUAACUUACAUGAUAUAUUAUGCUUGUUCUACUAUAUUGCAUUUAAGUGAUAGGAAUUGGUUGAUACCGUUGAUGCAUAUGUACUCCUUGAUAUCACCAUCCGUUUAUCUGCCUUGUCCUAUGUAGAUAGGCACAGAGUCUGUGCUUAGCUUGCUUAGCCCGGUAGAAGUCGGGUGAUCUCCUGUCACCUGCGAGAUAUAGUUGGAUACCUGCUUGAUUAAGCGGUGAUUGCUUUGGGAAAAGAUUAACCAAGUGUGGAGUGGAAAUUUCUGACCGGGCAGGGUCUUAUGGUGGGUUGACUAUAGUGCCUCUGCCUGUGUCGAUUAAGGACCGAUCGUUGACGGCCCUCUUGUCAUGUUGAACGCAUGCCCCACAUUUAGCUGGAAGGAUAAGUCGUUCCGACCGCGAAGCCUAAGCACUAUCCGGGCCGGGAAUCGGCCCGAUGUACGCGCUAGAUUGGUGAUGGUUGAGGAGAACGACGAGGGCGCGGCGCGCAACCAUGGUAUACCUUGGAUACCUCGGUCACUAGAACGGUCCUUGGGUACGGGCAGUGCCUGUCGAGCCCACGAAUUGGUCCUGGAUAGUGCAAUACGGUGAUCUGUAGCUCACUUGAUCAGUGAGUGUGGUUUGUGGGGGGGGAAUAAACUCGCCAGCUGGUUAGAAAUCGAUUCGAAUCGCCAUCGCUCCUGGAUAGUGAGCACUUGACUUGAGCCCUGUCCUCGUAGUAAGGACUAUGGAACACUUGGGUUAUAAUGAUAAAUGGUUUUAUGAAUGCUAUGAUGAGGUACCAUCAUAUCACUAUACUUGCUUGUAAUAGUGCAGGUGCAAACCUAGAUAAUAGGUAAUGAUACUUUCAACUUGAGCAAAUUAAAAGAAGAAAGAUUUAUGUAGGUUAUGUUAAUAGAAUCUUGCUGUUAUGUAAAAAGGUUGUCAGCUACCCCACUAUAUAGCCUUCACGAUCCUUGAAGAGUCUUUAUUUUGAGUUUAUGACGGGUAAGUCUAGCUGAGUACAUUCUCGUACUCAGGGUUCUACUCCCAUGUUGUUUUGCAGAUGGUCAAAUGUACUAUGGUUAUUGCAUCCUCUGCCUAUACCCAGCUAUGGGUGAUGACUAGACCAAGGGCGAUGGUCACUCCGUCUUUUCUUUUGCUGUUGUGGGAAUGACCAAAACUAUGGCACUGUAUCAGACUAAGUGUGUGUGUGUGUGUUAUUUUCAACUAUGAAGCUUCCGCUACCUGUGAACUUGGUUUGUAAUAACUAUAAGCACUCCGAUGUUUCCGAUGAAUGUUUUCGAACUGGAUGUAACUGUGAAUGGUGACCGCUGAACUUAUUACGAUCUUGGCUGUAUGUACGAUAUGUGGUUUGAAAUCCUUCGAGAUUUCACGGACUACCGGGAUUAUAUGGGUUUAAGCUGGAUGGUUUGACUAUGCAAAUGGUCGCUAUCAGGCUUAAUCUCUUAUAAUUUCGGCGGUUCUGUUACAUGCAUGGUUUACGCCUAAUGCACCAUAAGCUAAGAAACCAUUUUAGACGCACUCGAUGGUACUCGUAGUUGAAGAGGCUCAAGUGGAGGCUCGAUUUGGUCUGUUCGGAUAUAGUGCUAAUCUUGAUGCAAGAUAGUUGCACAGUUUGAAUGGAACGUACCAUAUGUUAAGAAAUCAAUUUGGACGCACCCAAUGGAACUCCUAGAUGACGUGUGUCACAUGGAAUCUCGCUUCGCUCUAUUUGGAGACAAUGUUAGUUUCGAUGCAGAUAGGUGCAUAGUUUGUGCCUAAUGCACCAUAGUCUAAGAAACCAUUUUUGACGCACCUGUUUGUACUCCUAGAUGAAGAGGCUCAAGUGGAAGCUCGGUUCGGUCUGUUUGGAGAUAGUGCUAAUCUUAAUGCAAGAUAGGUGCACGGUUUGCAUGGAACAUACAAUAUGCUUGGAAAUCAAUGUGGAUGCACCCAAUGGAACUCCUUAAUGACGUGUGUCAUAUGGAAUCUCGCUUUGGUCGGUUUAGAAACAGUGUUAGUUUCGGUGCAAGAUAUGUGCAUGGUUUGUUCCUACUGCACCAUAGUCUAAGAAACCAUUUUGGAAGCACCUGUUGGUACUUCGGUGAAGAUGCUCAAGUGGAAGCUCGGUUUGAUCUGUUUGGAGAUAGUGCGAAUCUUGAUGCAAUAUAGGUGCAUGAUUUGCAAGGAACAUACCAUAUGCUUAAAAAUCAAUUUGGACGUACCCUACGGAACUCCUAGCUGACGUGUGUCAUAUGGAAUCUUGCUUUUGUCCGUUUGUAGACAUUGUAAGUUUUAGUGCAAGAUAAUUACACAGUUUGCGCCUAAUGCACCAUAGUCUAAGAAACCAUUUUGGACACACUAUUUGGUACUCUUGGAUGAAGAGGCCCAAGUGGAAGCUUGGUUCGGUCAGUUUGGAGAUAGUGCUAAUACUUAUGCAAGGUAGGUGCAUGCUUUGCAUAGAACAUACCAUAUGCUUGGAAAUCAAUUUGGAUGCACCCGAUGGACCUCCUUGAUGACGUGUGUCAUAUGGAAUCUUGCUUCGGUCCAUUUGGAGAUAUUGUUAGUUUUGAUGCAAGAUAGGUGCACAGUUUGCACCUAAUGCACCAUAGUCUAAGAAACCAUUUUGGACGCACUUGUUGGUACUCCUAGGUGAAGGGGCUCAUGUGGAUGCUCGGUUCGAUCUAUUUGGAGAUAGUGCUAAUCUUGAUGCAAGAUAGAUGCAUGGUCUGCAUGGAACGUACCAUAUGCUUAGAAUUUAAUUUGGACACACCCGAUAAAACUCUUUGAUGACGUGUAUCAUAUGGAAUCUCGCUUUGGUGUGCUUAGAGAUAGUAUUAGUUUCGGUGCAAGAUAUGUGCACGGUUUGCGCCUAAUGCACCAAAGUCUAUGAAACCAUUUUGGAAGCACCUGUUGGUACUCCUAGGUGAAGAGGCUCAAGUGGAGGCUCGGUUUGGUCUGUUUAGAGAUAGUGCUAAUCUUGAUGCAAGAUAGGUGCACGAUUUGCAUGGAACAUACCAUAUGCUCAGAAAUCAAUUUGGACGCACUAGAUGGAACUCCUAGAUGACAUGUGUCGUAUGGAAUCUCACUUCGGUCCGUUUAGAGACAGUGUUAGUUUCAGUGCAAGAUAGGUGCACGGUUUGCACCUAAUGCACCAUAGGAUAAGAACCCGUUUUGGACGCACCCGAUGGUACUCCUAGGUCAAGGUGCUAAAGUGAAAGCUCGGUUUGGUCUGUUUGGAGAGAGUGCUAAUCUUUAUGCAAGAUAGAUGCUCGGUUUGCGUGGAACAUACGAUAUGCUCCGAAAUCAAUUAGGACGCACCUGAUAUAACUCCUUGAUGAUGUGUGUCAUAUGGAAUCUUGCUUCGGUUCAUUUAGAGACUGUUAAUUUUGGUAGAAGAUAUGUGCAUGGUUUACGCCUAAUGCACCAUAAGCUAAGAAACCAUUUUAGACGCACUCGAUGGUACUCGUAGUUGAAGAGGCUCAAGUGGAGGCUCGAUUUGGUCUGUUCGGAUAUAGUGCUAAUCUUGAUGCAAGAUAGUUGCACAGUUUGAAUGGAACGUACCAUAUGUCAACAAAUCAAUUUGGACGCACCCAAUGGAACUCCUAGAUGACGUGUGUCACAUGGAAUCUCGCUUCGCUCUGUUUGGAGACAAUGUUAGUUUCGAUGCAGAUAGGUGCAUAGUUUGUGCCUAAUGCACCAUAGUCUAAGAAACCAUUUUUGACGCACCUGUUUGUACUCCUAGAUGAAGAGGCUCAAGUGGAAGCUCGGUUCGGUCUGUUUGGAGAUAGUGCUAAUCUUGAUGCAAGAUAGGUGCACGGUUUGCAUGGAACAUACAAUAUGCUUGGAAAUCAAUGUGGAUGCACCCAAUGGAACUCCUUAAUGACGUGUGUCAUAUGGAAUCUCGCUUUGGUCGGUUUAGAAACAGUGUUAGUUUCGGUGCAAGAUAUGUGCAUGGUUUGUUCCUACUGCACCAUAGUCUAAGAAACCAUUUUGGAAGCACCUGUUGGUACUUCGGUGAAGAUGCUCAAGUGGAAGCUCGGUUUGAUCUGUUUGGAGAUAGUGCGAAUCUUGAUGCAAUAUAGGUGCAUGAUUUGCAAGGAACAUACCAUAUGCUUAAAAAUCAAUUUGGACGUACCCUACGGAACUCCUAGAUGACGUGUGUCAUAUGGAAUCUUGCUUUUGUCCGUUUGUAGACAUUGUAAGUUUUAGUGCAAGAUAAUUACACAGUUUGCGCCUAAUGCACCAUAGUCUAAGAAACCAUUUUGGACACACUAUUUGGUACUCUUGGAUGAAGAGGCCCAAGUGGAAGCUUGGUUCGGUCAGUUUGGAGAUAGUGCUAAUACUUAUGCAAGGUAGGUGCAUGCUUUGCAUAGAACAUACCAUAUGCUUGGAAAUCAAUUUGGAUGCACCCGAUGGACCUCCUUGAUGACGUGUGUCAUAUGGAAUCUUGCUUCGGUCCAUUUGGAGAUAUUGUUAGUUUUGAUGCAAGAUAGGUGCACAGUUUGCACCUAAUGCACCAUAGUCUAAGAAACCAUUUUGGACGCACUUGUUGGUACUCCUAGGUGAAGGGGCUCAUGUGGAUGCUCGGUUCGAUCUAUUUGGAGAUAGUGCUAAUCUUGAUGCAAGAUAGAUGCAUGGUCUGCAUGGAACGUACCAUAUGCUUAGAAUUUAAUUUGGACACACCCGAUAAAACUCUUUGAUGACGUGUAUCAUAUGGAAUCUCGCUUUGGUGUGCUUAGAGAUAGUAUUAGUUUCGGUGCAAGAUAUGUGCACGGUUUGCGCCUAAUGCACCAAAGUCUAUGAAACCAUUUUGGAAGCACCUGUUGGUACUCCUAGGUGAAGAGGCUCAAGUGGAGGCUCGGUUUGGUCUGUUUAGAGAUAGUGCUAAUCUUGAUGCAAGAUAGGUGCACGAUUUGCAUGGAACAUACCAUAUGCUCAGAAAUCAAUUUGGACGCACUAGAUGGAACUCCUAGAUGACAUGUGUCGUAUGGAAUCUCACUUCGGUCCGUUUAGAGACAGUGUUAGUUUCAGUGCAAGAUAGGUGCACGGUUUGCACCUAAUGCACCAUAGGAUAAGAACCCGUUUUGGACGCACCCGAUGGUACUCCUAGGUCAAGGUGCUAAAGUGAAAGCUCGGUUUGGUCUGUUUGGAGAGAGUGCUAAUCUUGAUGCAAGAUAGAUGCUCGGUUUGCGUGGAACAUACGAUAUGCUCCGAAAUCAAUUAGGACGCGCCUGAUAUAACUCCUUGAUGAUGUGUGUCAUAUGGAAUCUUGCUUCGGUUCAUUUAGAGACUGUUAAUUUUGGUAGAAGAUAUGUGCAUGGUUUACGCCUAAUGCACCAUAAGCUAAGAAACCAUUUUAGACGCACUCGAUGGUACUCGUAGUUGAAGAGGCUCAAGUGGAGGCUCGAUUUGGUCUGUUCGGAUAUAGUGCUAAUCUUGAUGCAAGAUAGUUGCACAGUUUGAAUGGAACGUACCAUAUGUUAAGAAAUCAAUUUGGACGCACCCAAUGGAACUCCUAGAUGACGUGUGUCACAUGGAAUCUCGCUUCGCUCUGUUUGGAGACAAUGUUAGUUUCGAUGCAGAUAGGUGCAUAGUUUGUGCCUAAUGCACCAUAGUCUAAGAAACCAUUUUUGACGCACCUGUUUGUACUCCUAGAUGAAGAGGCUCAAGUGGAAGCUCGGUUCGGUCUGUUUGGAGAUAGUGCUAAUCUUGAUGCAAGAUAGGUGCACGUUUGAAUGGAACAUACAAUAUGCUUGGAAAUCAAUGUGGAUGCACCCGAUGGAACUCCUUGAUGACGCGUGUCAUAUGGAAUCUCGCUUUGGUCUGUUUAGAAACAGUGUUAGUUUCGGUGCAAGAUAUGUGCAUGGUUUGUUCCUACUGCACCAUAGUCUAAGAAACCAUUUUGGAAGCACCUGUUGGUACUUCGGUGACGAUGCUCAAGUGGAAGCUCGGUUUGAUCUGUUUGGAGAUAGUGCUAAUCUUGANNNNNNNNNNNNNNNNNNNNNNNNNNNNNNNNNNNNNNNNNNNNNNNNNNNNNNNNNNNNNNNNNNNNNNNNNNNNNNNNNNNNNNNNNNNNNNNNNNNNUGUGUGUCAUAUGGAAUCUUGCUUCGGUUCGUUUAGAGACUGUUAGUUUUCGGUAGAAGAUAUGUGCAUGGUUUACGCCUAAUGCACCAUAAGCUAAGAAACCAUUUUAGACGCACUCGAUGGUACUCGUAGUUGAAGAGGCUCAAGUGGAGGCUCGAUUUGGUCUGUUCGGAUAUAGUGCUAAUCUUGACGCAAGAUAGUUGCACAGUUUGAAUGGAACGUACCGUAUGUUAAGAAAUCAAUUUGGACGCACCCAAUGGAACUCCUAGAUGACGUGUGUCAAAUGGAAUCUCGCUUCGCUCUAUUUGGAGACAAUGUUAGUUUCGAUGCAGAUAGGUGCAUAGUUUGUGCGUCAUGCACCAUAGUCUAAGAAACCAUUUUUGACGCACCUGUUGGUACUCCUAGAUGAAGAGGCUCAAGUGGAAGCUCCGUUCGGUCUGUUUGGAGAUAGUGCUAAUCUUGAUGCAAGAUAGGUGCACGGUUUGCAUGGAACAUACAAUAUGCUUGGAAAUCAAUGUGGAUGCACCCGAUGGAACUCCUUGAUGACGUGUGUCAUAUGGAAUCUCGCUUUGGUCUGUUUAGAAACAGUGUUAGUUUCGGUGCAAGAUAUGUGCAUGGUUUGUGCCUAAUGCACCAUAGGCUAAGAAACCAUUUUGGACGCACUCGAUGGUACUCCUAGGUGAAGAGGCUCAACUGUAAACUCGGUUCGGAAAUCAAUUUGGACGCACCCGUUGGAACUCCUAGAUGAGCUGUGUCAUAUGUAUUCUCACUUGGUCCAUUUAGAGACAGUGUUAGUUUCGGGGCGAGAUAGGCGUACAGUUUGCGCCUAAUGCACCAUAGGCUAAGAAAGCAUUUUGGAUGCACCCGAUGCUACUCCUAGGUAAAGGGGUUCAAGUGAAAUCUUUGUUUGGUCUAUUUGGAGAUAGUGCUAAUCUUGAUGCAAGAUAGGUGCACAUUUUGCAUGGAACGUACCAUAUGCUCAUAAAUCAAUUUGGACGCACCUGAUAGACUUCCUUGAUGAUGUGUGUCAUAUAGAAUCUUGCUUCGGUCUGUUUAGAGACAUUGUUAGUUUCGGUGCACGAUAGGUACACGGUUUGCGCCUAGUUCACCAUAGACUAAGAAACCAUUUUGGACACACCCGAUGGUACUUCUAUGUGAAGGGGCUCAAGUGGAAGCUUGGUUUGGUCUGUUUGGAGAUAGUGCUAAUCUUAAGGAAAGAUUGGUGCACGGUUUGCAUGGAACAUACCAUAUGCUCAAAAAUCAAUAUGGACGCACCUGAAAGAACUCCUAGAUGAUGUUUUUUGGUCCGUUUGGACACAGCGUUAGUUUCGGUGCAAGAUAAGUGCACGGUUUGCGCCUAACGCUCCAUAGGCUAAGAAACCAUUUUGGACGCACCCGAUGGUUCUCCUAGGUAAAGGGGCUCAAUGAAAGCUACGUUUUGUCUGUUUGGAGAUUGUCCUAAUCUUCAUAUAAGAUAGGUGCAUGGUUUGCAUGUAACGUACCAUAUGCUUGGAAAUCAAUUUGGACGCACCCAAUAGAACUUCUAGAUGACAUGUGUCAUAUGGAAUCUCGCUUCGGUCUGUUUGAAGACAGUGUCAGUUUCGGUGCAAGAUAGGAGUACCGUUUGCGCCUAAUGCACCAUAGGCUAAGAAACCAUUUUGGAUGCACCCAAUGGUACACCUUGGUAGAGAUGCUCGAGUGAAAGCUUGGUUUGGUCUGUUUGGAGAUAGUGCUAAUCUUGAUGCAAGAUAGGUGCAUGGUUUGCAUGGAACGUACCAUAUGCUCAAAAAUCAAAUUGGACGCACGCGAUAGAACUCCUUGAUGACGUGUGUCGUAUGGAAUCUUGCUUCAGUCCGUUUGGAGACAGUGUUAGUUUUAGUGCAAGAUAUGUGCACGGUUUGUGCCUAGUGCACCAUAGGCUAAGAAACCAUUUUAGACGCACCCGAUGGUACUCCUAGGUGAAUAGGCUUAAGUGGAAGCUCGGUUUAGUCUGUUCAGAGGUAGUGCUAAUAUUGAUGCAAGAUAGGUGCAUGGUUUAAAUGGAACGUACGAUAUGCUCGAAAAUCAAUUUGGACAGACCAAAUGGAACUCCUAGAUGACGUGUGUCAUAUGGAAUCUUGCUUGGGUCCGUUUAGAGACAUUGUUAGUUUUGGUGCAAGAUAGGUACACAGGCCUAAUGCACCAUAGGCUAAGAAACCAUUUUGGACACACCUGAUGGUACUCCUGGUGAAGGGGCUCAAGUGGAAGCUUGGUUUGGUCUGUUUGAAGAUAGUGCUAAUCUUGAGGAAAGAUAGCUGCACGGUUUGCAUGGAACGUACCAUAUGCUCAGAAAUCAAUUUGGACGCACCUGAUGGAACUCCUUGAGGACGUGUGUCAUAUGGAAUCUCACUUUGGUCCAUUUGGAGAUUAUGUUAGUUUCGGUGCAAGAUAGGUGCACGGUUUGCGCCUAAUGCACUAUAGGCUUAGAAACCGUUGUGGAAGCACCCAAUGGUACUCCUAGGUGAAGAGGCUCAAGUAAAGCUCGAUACGGUCUAUUUGGAGAUAGUGCUAAUCUUCAUGUAAGAUAGGUGCACAGUUUGCAUGGAACAUACCAUAUGCUUAAAAAUCAAUUUGCACGCACUCGAUAGAACUCCUAGAUGAUGUGUGUUAUGUGGAAUCUCGCUUUGGUCUAUUCGGAGAUAGUGUUAGUUUCGAUGCAAGAUAGGUGCAUGGUUUGCUCCUAAUGAACUAUCUCUAAGAAACCAUUUUAGACACACCCAAUGGUACUCCUAGGUGAAGAGGCUCAAGUAGAAUCUCGGUUUGGUCUGUUUGGAGAUAUUGUAAAUCUUGAUGCAAGAUAGUUGCACGGUUUGCAUGAAACAUACCAUAUGCUCAGAAAUCAAUUUGGACACACCCGAUGGAACUUGUAGAUGACGUGUGUCAUAUGUAAUCUCGCUUUGGUCCGUUUGGAGAUAGUGUUUGUUUCGGUGCAAGCUAGGUGCACAGUUUGCGCCUAAUGCAGCAUAGGCUAAGAAACCAAUUUGGACACACCCGAUGGUACUCUGAGGUGAAGGGGCACAAGUGGAAGCUUGGUUUGGUCUGUUUGGAGAUAGUGCUAAUAUUUAGGAAAUAUUGGUGCCCGUUUGCAUGGAACGUACCAUAUGCUCGGAAAUCAAUUUAGACGCACUUGAUGGAACUCCUAGAUGACGUGUGUCAUAUGGAUUCUCGCUUUGGUCCGUUUGGGGACAGUGUUAGUUUCGGUGCAAGAUAGGUGCAAGGUUUGUGCCUAAUGCACCAUAGGCUAUGAAACCAUUUUGGACGCACUUGAUGGUACUCCUAGGUGAAGAGGCUCAACUGUAAGCUCGGUUCGGAAAUCAAUUUGGACGCACCCGUUGGAACUCCUAGAUGAGGUGUGUCAUAUGUAUUCUCACAUUGGUCCGUUUGGAGACAGUGUUAGUUUUGGGGCAAGAUAGGCGUACAGUUUGCGCCUAAUGCACCAUAGGCUAAGAAAGCAUUUUGGAUGCACCCGAUGGUACUCCUAGGUAAAGGGGUUCAAGUGAAAUCUUGGUUUGGUCUAUUUGGAGAUAGUGCUAAUCUUGAUGCAAGAUAGGUGCACAAUUUGCAUGGAACGCACCAUAUGCUCAAAAAUCUAUUUGGACGCACCUGAUAGAACUCCUUGAUGACGUGUGUCAUAUGGAAUCUUGCUUCGGUCUGUUUAGAGACAUUGUUAGUUUCGGUGCAAGAUAGGUACACGGUUUGCGCCUAGUUCACCACACACUAAGAAACAAUUUUGGACACACUCGAUGGUACUUCUAUGUGAAGGGGCUCAAGUGGAAGCUUGGUUUGGUCUGUUUGGAGAUAGUGCUAAUCUUAAGGAAAGACAGGUGCAUGGUUUGCAUGGAACAUACCAUAUGCUCAAAAAUCAAUAUGGACGCACCUGAUAGAACUCCUAGAUGAUGUUUGGAGAUAGUGUUAGUUUUAGUGCAAGAUAGGUGUAUGGUUUGCACCUAAUGCACCAUACUCUAAGAAAACAUUUUCGACACACUCGAUGGUACUCCUAGGUGAAGAGGCUCAAGUGGAAGCUCGGUUCGGUCUGUUUGGAGAUAGUGCUAAUCUUGAUGGAAGAUAGAUGCACAGUUUGCAAGGAACGUACCAUAUGCUAAGAGAUCAAUUUGGACACCCGAUGGAACUCCUAGAUGACGUGUGUCAUAUGGAAUCUCACUUUCGUUCGUUUGGAGACAGUGUUAGUUUCGGUGCAAGAUAGGUGCACAGUUUGCGCCUAAUGCACCAUAGGCUAAGAAACCAUUUUGGACACACCCGAUGGUACUCCUAGGUGAAGGGGCUCAAGUGGAAGCUCAGUACGGUUUGUUUGGAGAUAGUGCUAAUCUUUAUGUAUGAUAGGUGCACGGUUUGCAUGGAACAUUCAUAUGCUCAAAAUCAAUAUGGACACAACGAAUAGAACUCCUAGAUGAUGUGUGUCAUCCAGAAUCUCACUUUGUCUGUUUGGAGAUAGUUUUAGUUUGGGUGCAAGAUAGAUGCAUGGUUUGCGCCUAAUGCACCAUACUCUAAGAAAAUAUUUUGGACACACUCGAUGGUACUCCUUGGUGAAGAGACUCAAGUGGAAGCUUGGUUCGGUCUGUUUGGAGAUAGUGCUAACUUGAUGCAAGAUAGUUGCACGGUUUGCAUGGAACGUACCAUAUGCUUGGAAAUCAAUUUGGACGCACCCAAUGGAACUCCAACUCCUAGAUGAGGUGUGUCAUAUGACAUCUCGCUUUGGUCCGUUUGGACACAGCGUUAGUUUCGGUGCAAGAUAAGUGCACGGUUUGCGCCUAACGCUCCAUAGGCUAAGAAACCAUUUUGGACGCACCCGAUGGUUCUCCUAGGUAAAGGGGCUCAAUGAAAGCUACGUUUUGUCUGUUUGGAGAUUGUCCUAAUCUUCAUAUAAGAUAGGUGCAUGGUUUGCAUGUAACGUACCAUAUGCUUGGAAAUCAAUUUGGACGCACCCAAUAGAACUUCUAGAUGACAUGUGUCAUAUGGAAUCUCGCUUCGGUCUGUUUGAAGACAGUGUCAGUUUCGGUGCAAGAUAGGUGUACCGUUUGCGCCUAAUGCACCAUAGGCUAAGAAACCAUUUUGGAUGCACCCAAUGGUACACCUUGGUAGAGAUGCUCGAGUGAAAGCUUGGUUUGGUCUGUUUGGAGAUAGUGCUAAUCUUGAUGCAAGAUAGGUGCAUGGUUUGCAUGGAACGUACCAUAUGCUCAAAAAUCAAAUUGGACGCACGCGAUAGAACUCCUUGAUGACGUGUGCCGUAUGGAAUCUUGCUUCAGUCCGUUUGGAGACAGUGUUAGUUUUAGUGCAAGAUAUGUGCACGGUUUGUGCCUAGUGCACCAUAGGCUAAGAAACCAUUUUAGACGCACCCGAUGGUACUCCUAGGUGAAUAGGCUUAAGUGGAAGCUCGGUUUAGUCUGUUCAGAGGUAGUGCUAAUAUUGAUGCAAGAUAGGUGCAUGGUUUAAAUGGAACGUACGAUAUGCUCGAAAAUCAAUUUGGACAGACCAAAUGGAACUCCUAGAUGACGUGUGUCAUAUGGAAUCUUGCUUGGGUCCGUUUAGAGACAUUGUUAGUUUUGGUGCAAGAUAGGUACACAGGCCUAAUGCACCAUAGGCUAAGAAACCAUUUUGGACACACCUGAUGGUACUCCUGGUGAAGGGGCUCAAGUGGAAGCUUGGUUUUGUCUGUUUGGAGAUAGUGCUAAUCUUGACGAAAGAUAGCUGCACGGUUUGCAUGGAACGUACCAUAUGCUCAGAAUUCAAUUUGGACGCACCUGAUGGAACUCGUUGAGGACAUGUGUCAUAUGGAAUCUCACUUUGGUCCAUUUGGAGAUUAUGUUAGUUUCGGUGCAAGAUAGGUGCACGGUUUGCGCCUAAUGCACUAUAGGCUUAGAAACCGUUGUGGAAGCACCCAAUGGUACUCCUAGGUGAAGAGGCUCAAGUAAAGCUCAAUACGGUCUAUUUGGAGAUAGUGCUAAUCUUCAUGUAAGAUAGGUGCACAGUUUGCAUGGAACAUACCAUAUGCUUAAAAAUCAAUUUGCACGCACUCGAUAGAACUCCUAGAUGAUGUGUGUUAUGUGGAAUCUCGCUUUGGUCUAUUCGGAGAUAGUGUUAGUUUCGAUGCAAGAUAGGUGCAUGGUUUGCUCCUAAUGAACUAUCUCUAAGAAACCAUUUUAGACACACCCAAUGGUACUCCUAGGUGAAGAGGCUCAAGUAGAAUCUCGGUUUGGUCUGUUUGGAGAUAUUGUAAAUCUUGAUGCAAGAUAGUUGCACGGUUUGCAUGAAACAUACCAUAUGCUCAGAAAUCAAUUUGGACACACCCGAUGGAACUUGUAGAUGACGUGUGUCAUAUGUAAUCUCGCUUUGGUCCGUUUGGAGAUAGUGUUUGUUUCGGUGCAAGCUAGGUGCACAGUUUGCGCCUAAUGCAGCAUAGGCUAAGAAACCAAUUUGGACACACCCGAUGGUACUCUGAGGUGAAGGGGCACAAGUGGAAGCUUGGUUUGGUCUGUUUGGAGAUAGUGCUAAUAUUUAGGAAAUAUUGGUGCCCGUUUGCAUGGAACGUACCAUAUGCUCGGAAAUCAAUUUAGACGCACUUGAUGGAACUCCUAGAUGACGUGUGUCAUAUGGAUUCUCGCUUUGGUCCGUUUGGGGACAGUGUUAGUUUCGGUGCAAGAUAGGUGCAAGGUUUGUGCCUAAUGCACCAUAGGCUACGAAACCAUUUUGGACGCACUUGAUGGUACUCCUAGGUGAAGAGGCUCAACUGUAAGCUCGGUUAGGAAAUCAAUUUGGACGCACCCGUUGGAACUCCUAGAUGAGGUGUGUCAUAUGUAUUUUCACAUUGGUCCGUUUGGAGACAGUGUUAGUUUUGGGGCAAGAUAGGCGUACAGUUUGCGCCUAAUGCACCAUAGGCUAAGAAAGCAUUUUGGAUGCACCCGAUGGUACUCCUAGGUAAAGGGGUUCAAGUGAAAUCUUGGUUUGGUCUAUUUGGAGAUAGUGCUAAUCUUGAUGCAAGAUAGGUGCACAAUUUGCAUGGAACGCACCAUAUGCUCAAAAAUCUAUUUGGACGCACCUGAUAGAACUCCUUGAUGACGUGUGUCAUAUGGAAUCUUGCUUCGGUCUGUUUAGAGACAUUGUUAGUUUCGGUGCAAGAUAGGUACACGGUUUGCGCCUAGUUCACCACAGACUAAGAAACAAUUUUGGACACACUCGAUGGUACUUCUAUGUGAAGGGGCUCAAGUGGAAGCUUGGUUUGGUCUGUUUGGAGAUAGUGCUAAUCUUAAGGAAAGACAGGUGCAUGGUUUGCAUGGAACAUACCAUAUGCUCAAAAAUCAAUAUGGACGCACCUGAUAGAACUCCUAGAUGAUGUUUGGAGAUAGUGUUAGUUUUAGUGCAAGAUAGGUGUAUGGUUUGCACCUAAUGCACCAUACUCUAAGAAAACAUUUUCGACACACUCGAUGGUACUCCUAGGUGAAGAGGCUCAAGUGGAAGCUCGGUUCGGUCUGUUUGGAGAUAGUGCUAAUCUUGAUGGAAGAUAGAUGCACAGUUUGCAAGGAACGUACCAUAUGCUAAGAGAUCAAUUUGGACACCCGAUGGAACUCCUAGAUGACGUGUGUCAUAUGGAAUCUCACUUUCGUUCGUUUGGAGACAGUGUUAGUUUCGGUGCAAGAUAGGUGCACAGUUUGCGCCUAAUGCACCAUAGGCUAAGAAACCAUUUUGGACACACCCGAUGGUACUCCUAGGUGAAGGGGCUCAAGUGGAAGCUCAGUACGGUUUGUUUGGAGAUAGUGCUAAUCUUUAUGUAUGAUAGGUGCACGGUUUGCAUGGAACAUACCAUAUGCUCAAAAUCAAUAUGGACGCAACGAAUAGAACUCCUAGAUGAUGUGUGUCAUCCAGAAUCUCACUUUGUCUGUUUGGAGAUAGUUUUAGUUUGGGUGCAAGAUAGAUGCAUGGUUUGCGCCUAAUGCACCAUACUCUAAGAAAAUAUUUUGGACACACUCGAUGGUACUCCUUGGUGAAGAGACUCAAGUGGAAGCUUGGUUCGGUCUGUUUGGAGAUAGUGCUAACUUGAUGCAAGAUAGUUGCACGGUUUGCAUGGAACGUACCAUAUGCUUGGAAAUCAAUUUGGACGCACCCAAUGGAACUCCAACUCCUAGAUGAGGUGUGUCAUAUGAAAUCUCGCUUUGGUCCCUUUGGAGACAGCGUUAGUUUUGGUGCAAGAUAAGUGCACGGUUUGUGCCUAAUGCACCUUAGGCUAAGAAACCAUUUUGGACGCACCCGAUGGUUCUCCUAGGUUUUGUCUAUGUUUUGUCUGUUUGGAGAUAGUCCUAAUCUUCAUGUAAGAUAGGUGCAUGGUUUGCAUGUAACGUACCAUAUGCUUGGAAAUCAAUUUGGACGCACCCAAUAGAACUUCUAGAUGACUCGUGUCAUAUGGAGUCUUGCUUCGGUCUAUUUGAAGACAGUGUUAGUUUCGGUGCAAGAUAGGUGUAUCGUUUGCGCCUAAUGCACCAUAGGCUAAGAAACCAUUUUGGAUGCAGCCGAUGGUACUCCUUGGUAGAGGGGCUCAAGUGAAGGCUUGGUUUGGUCUAUUUGGAGAUAGUGCUAAUCUUGAUGCAAGAUAGGUGCAUGGUUUGCAUGGAACGUACCAUAUGCUCAAAAUUCAAUUUGGACGCACGCGAUAGAACUCCUUGAUGACGUUUGUCAUAUGGAAUCUUGCUUCGGCCCGUUUGGAGAUAGUGUUAGUUUUAGUGCAAGAUAUGUGCACGGUUUGUGCCUAGUGCACCAUAGGCUAAGAAACCAUUUUAGACGCACCCGAUGGUACUCCUAGGUGAAUAGGCUUAAGUGGAAGCUCGGUUUGGUCUGUUCAGAGAUAGUGCUAAUCUUGAUGCGAGAUAGGUGCACGGUUUACAUGGAACGUACGAUAUGCUCGGAAAUCAAUUUGGACUGACCAAAUGGAACUCCUAGAUGACAUGUGUCAUAUGGAAUCUUGCUUGGGUCCGUUUAGAGACAUUGUUAGUUUUGGUGCAAGAUAGUUACACAGGCCUAAUGCACCAUAGGCUAAGAAACCAUUUUGGACACACCUGAUGGUACUCCUGGUGAAGGGGCUCAAGUGGAAGCUUGGUUUUGUCUGUUUGGAGAUAGUGCUAAUCUUGACGAAAGAUAGCUGCACGGUUUGCAUGGAACGUACCAUAUGCUCAGAAUUCAAUUUGGACACAACUGAUGGAACUCGUUGAGGACAUGUGUCAUAUGGAAUCUCACUUUGGUCCAUUUGGAGAUUAUGUUUGUUUCGGUGCAAGAUAGGUGCACGGUUUGCGCCUAAAGCACUAUAGGCUUAGAAACCGUUGUGGAAGCACCCGAUGGUACUCCUAGGUGAAGAGGCUCAAGUAAAGCUCGAUACGGUCUAUUUGGAGAUAGUGCUAAUCUUCAUGUAAGAUAGGUGCACGGUUUGCAUGGAACAUACCAUAUGCUCAAAAAUCAAUUUGCACGCACCCGAUAGAACUCCUAGAUGAUGUGUGUUAUGUGGAAUCUCGCUUGGAGAUAGUGUAAAUCUUGAUGCAAGAUAGUUGCACGGUUUGAAUGGAACGUAUCAUAUGCUUGGAAAUCAAUUUGGAUGCACUCGAUGGAACUCCUAGAUGACGUGUGUCAUAUGUAAUCUUGCUUUGGUCCACUUGGAGACAAUGUUAGUUUCGGUGCAAGGUAGGUGCAUGGUUUGCAUCUAAUGCACCAUUGGCUAAGAAACCAUUUUGGACACACCCAAUGGUACUCCUCGGUGAAGGGGCGCAAGUGGAGGCUUUGUUUGGUCUGUUUGGAGAUAGUGCUAAUCUUUAGGAAAGAUAUGUGCACGUUUGCAUGGGACGUACCAUAUGCUUAGAAAUCAAUUUGGACGCAACCGGUGGAACUCCUAGAUGACGUGUGUCAUAUGGAAUCUUGCUUCAGUUCAUUUGGAGACAGUGUUAGUUUUGGUGCAAGCUAGGUGCAUAGUUUGUGCCGAAUGCACCAUAGUCUAAGGCCCUGUUUAGUUCCCCACCCAAAAUUUUUUCAUCCAUCCCAUCGAAUCUUUGGACACAUGUAUGGAACAUUAAAUGUAGAUAAAAAAAUAAACUAAUUACACAGUUUAGUUAAGAAUCGCGAGACGAAUCUUUUAAGCCUAGUUACUCUAUGAUUAGCCUUAAGUGCUACAGUAACCCAUAUAUGCUAAUGACAGAUUAAUUAUGCUUAAUAAAUUUGUCUUGCAGUUUCCUGACGAGCUAUGUAAUUUGUUUUUUUAUUAGUUUCUAAAAACCCCUUCCGACAUCCUUCCGACACAUCCGAUGUGACACCUCAAAAAUUUUCGUUCUUAAUCUAAACAGGCCCUAAGAAACCAUUUUGGAUGGUGCUAUUUGUACUCCUAGGUGAAGAGGCUCAAGUGGAUGCUCAGUUUGGUCUGUUUGGAGAUAGUGCUAAUCUUGAUGCAAGAUAGAUGCACAGUUUGCAAGGAACGUACCAUAUACUAAGAAAUCAAUUUGGACACACGAUGGAACUCCUAGAUGACGUGUGUCAUAUGGAAUCUCGCUUUCGUUCGUUUGGAGACAGUGUUAGUUUCGGUGCAAGAUAGGUGCACAGUUUGUGCCAAAUGUACCACAGGCUAAGAAACCAUUUUGGACACACUCGAUGGUACUCCUAGGUCAAGAGGGUCAAGUCGAAGCACGGUUCGAUCUGUUUGGAGAUAGUGCUAAUUUCUAUGUGAGAUACGUGCAUGGUUUGCAUGGAACGUACCAUAUGCUCGAAAAUCAAUUUGGACGCACCAGAUGGAACUGUUAGAUGAGGUGUGUCAUUUGUAAUCUCGCUUUGGUCUGUUGAAGACAAUGUUAGUUUUGGUGCAAGAUAGGUGCACGGUUUGCGCCUAAUGCACCAUAGGCUAAGAAACCAUUUUGGAUGCACUCGAUGGUCCUCCUAGGUGAAGAGGCUCAAAAGAAAGCUCGAUUCAGUCUAUUUGGAGAUAGUGCUAAUCUUGAUGCAAGAUUGGUGCACAGUUUGCAUGGAACAUACCAUAUGCUUGGAAAUCAAUUUGGACGCACCCGAUGGAACUCCUAGAUGACGUGUGUCAUAUGGAUUAUGCUUUGAUAUAUUUGGAGAUUGUGUUAGUUUAGGUGCAAGAUAGGUGCACGGUUUGCGCCUAAUGCACCAUAGGAUAAGAACCCAUUUUGCGCGCACACGAUGGUACUCCUAGGUAAAGGGGCUCAAGUGAAAGCUCAGUUUGGUCUGUUUGGAUAUAGUGCUAAUCUUGAUGCAAGAUAGGUGCACGGUUUGCAUGGAACAUACCAUAUGCUCAUAAAUCAAUUGGAACACACCUGAUAGACCUUGAUGACAUGUGUUAUUUGGAAUCUCGAUUUGGUCCGUUUGGAGACAGUAUUAGUUUCAGUGCAAGAUUGGUGCAUGGUUUGUGCCAAAUACACCAUACUCUAAGAAAUCAAUUUGGACGCACCCGAUGGUACUCCUAGGUGAAGAUCCUCAAAAGAAAGCUCGAUUCCAUCUAUUUAGAGAUAGUGCUAAUCUUGAUGUAAGAUAGGUGCACAGUUUGCAUGGAGCGUACCAUAUGCUCAAAAAUCAGUUUGGAUCCGAUGGAACACCUUGAUGACAUGUGUCAUAUGGAAUCUCGUUUCGGUCCAUUUGGAGACAGUGUUAGUUUCAGUGCAAGAUAGGUGCAUAGUUUGUGCCUAAUGCAUCAUAGUCUAAGAAACCAUUUUGGACACACCUGUUGGUACUCCUUGGUGAAGAGGCUCAAGUGGAAGCUCGGUUCACUCUAUUUGGAGAUAGUGCUAAUCUUGAUGCAAAAUAGGUACACAGAUUGCAUGGAACGUACCAUAUGCUCGAAAAUCAAUUUGGACGCACCUGAUGGAACUCCUAGAUGAGGUGUGUCAUAUUUAAUCUCGCUUUGGUCCGUUUGGAGACAGUGUUAGUUUCGGUGCAAGAUAAGUGCAUGGUUUGGGCCUAAUGCACCAUAGGCUCUGAAACCAUUUUGGAUGCACCCAAUGGUACUCUUAGGUAAAGGGGCUCAAGUGAAAGUCAAGUUUUGUCUAUUUAGAGAUAGUCGUAAAUCCUAAUCUUCAUGUUAUGGUUUGCAUGUAACAUACCAUAUGCUCAAAAAUCAAUUUGGACGCACCCGAUAGAACUCCUAGAAGAUGUGUUAGUUUCAGUGCAAGAUAGGCGCAUGGUUUGUGCCUAAUGCACCAUACUCUAAGAAACCAUUUUGGACGCACCCAGUGGUACUCCUAGGUGAAGAGCCUCAAGUACAAGCGUAGUUUGGUCUAUUUAGAGAUAGUGCUAAUCUUAAUGCAAGAUAGUUGCACGGUUUGCAUGGAACGUACUAUAUGCUUGGAAAUCAGUUUGGACGCACCCGAUGGAACUCCUAGGUGACGUGUGUCAUAUGUAAUCUCACUUUCGUUCGUUUGGAGACAGUGUUAGUUUCGGUGCAAGAUAGGUGCACAGUUUGUGCCUAAUGCACCAUAUGCUAAGAAACCAUUUUGGACACACCCGAUGGUACUCCUAGGUGAAGGGGCUCAAGUGGAAGCUCAGUACGGUCUGUUUGGAGACAGUGCUAAUCUUUAUGUAUGAUAGGUGCACGGUUUGCAUGGAACAUUCAUAUGCUCAAAAUCAAUAUGGACACAACGAAUAGAACUCCUAGAUGAUGUGUGUCAUCCAGAAUCUCAGUUUGUCUGUUUGGAGAUAGUUUUAGUUUGGGUGCAAGAUAGAUGCAUGGUUUGCGCCUAAUGCACCAUACUCUAAGAAAACAUUUUGGACACACUCGAUGGGACUCCUAGGUGAAGAGGCACAAGUGGAAGCUCGGUUCGGUCUAUUUGGAGAUAGUGCUAACUUGAUGCAAGAUAGUUGCAUGGUUUGCAUGGAACGUACCAUAUGCUUGGAAAUCAAUUUGGACGCACCCAAUGGAACUCCAACUCCAAGAUGAGGUGUGGCAUAUGUAAUCUCGCUUUGGUCCGUUUGGAGACAACGUUAGUUUCGUUGCAAGAUAAGUGCACGGUUUGCACCUAAUGCACCAUAGGCUAAGAAACCAUUUCGGACGCACCCGAUGGUUCUCCUAGGUAAAGGGGCUCAAUGAAAGCUACGUUUUGUCUGUUUGGAGAUUGUCCUAAUCUUCAUUUAAGAUAGGUGCAUGGUUUGCAUGUAACAUACCAUAUGCUUGGAAAUUAAUUUGGAUGCACCCAAUAGAACUUCUAGAUGACUCGUGUCAUAUGGAAUCUCGCUUCGGUCUGUUUGAAGACAGUGUUAGUUUCGGUGCAAGAUAGGUGUACCGUUUGCGCCUAGUGCACCAUAGGCUAAGAAACCAUUUUAGACGCACCCGAUGGUACUCCUAGGUGAAUAGGCUUAAGUGGAAGCUCGGUUUGGUCUGUUCAGAGAUAGUGCUAAUCUUGAUGCAAGAUAGGUGCAUGGUUUACAUGGAACGUACGAUAUGCUCGAAAAUCAAUUUGGACUGACCAAAUGGAACUCCUAGAUGACGUGUGUCGUAUGGAAUCUUGCUUGGGUCCGUUUAGAGAGUUGUUAGUUUUGGUGCAAGAUAGGUACACGGUUUGCGCCUAAUGCACCAUAGGCUAAGAAACCAUUUUGGACACACCUGAUGGUACUUCUGGUGAAGGGGCUCAAGUGGAAGCUUGGUUUGGUCUGUUUGGAGAUAGUGCUAAUCUUCAGGAAAGAUAGCUGCACGGUUUGCAUGGAACGUACCAUAUGCUCAGAAAUCAAUUUGGACGCACCUGAUGGAACUCCUUGAGGACGUGUGUGAUAUGGAAUCUCACUUUGGUCCAUUUGGAGAUUACGUUAGUUUCGGUGCAAGAUAGGUGCACGGUUUGCGCCUAAUGCACUAUAGGCUUAGAAACCGUUGUGGAAGCACCCGAUGGUACUCCUAGGUGAAGAGGCUCAAGUAAAGCUCGAUACGAUCUAUUUGGAGAUAGUGCUAAUCUUCAUGUAAGAUAGGUGCACAGUUUGCAUGAAACAUACCAUAUGCUCAAAAGUCAAUUUGCACGCACCCGAUAGAACUUCUAGAUGAUGUGUGUUAUGUGGAAUCUCGCUUUGGUCUAUUCAGAGAUAGUGUUAGUUUCGAUGCAAGAUAGGUGCAUGGUUUGCUCCUAAUGCACUAUCUCUAAGAAACCAUUUUGGACACACCCAAUGGUACUCCUAGGUGAAGAGGCUCAAGUAGAAGCUCGGUUCGUUCUGUUUGGAGAUAGUGUAAAUCUUGAUGCAAGAUAGUUACACGGUUUGCAUGGAACAUACCAUAUGCUUGGAAAUCAAUUUGGACACACCCGAUGGAACUUCUAGAUGACGUGUGUCAUAUGUAAUCUUGCUUUGGUCCAUUUGGAGAUAGUGUUUGUUUCGGUGCAAGCUAGGUGCACGGUUUGCGCCUAAUGCAGCAUAGGCUAAGAAACCAUUUUGGACACACCCGAUGGUACUCCGAGGUGAAGGGGCGCAAGUGGAUGCUUGGUUUGGUCUGUUUGGAUAUAGUGCUAAUCUUUAGGAAAUAUAGGUGCCCGUUUGCAUGGAACGUACCAUAUGCUCGGAAAUCAAUUUAGACGCACUCGAUGGAACUCCUAGAUGACGUGUGUCAUAUGGAAUCUCGCUUUGGUCCGUUUGGAGACAGUGUUAGUUUCGGUGCAAGAUAGGUGCAUGGUUUGUGCCUAAUGCACCAUAGGCUAAGAAACCAUUUUGGACGCACUCGAUUGUACUCCUAGGUAAAGAGGCUCAACUGUAAGCUCGGUUUGGAAAUCAAUUUGGACGCACCCGUUGGAACUCCUAGAUGAGGUGUGUCAUAUGUAUUCUCACAUUGGUCCGUUUGGAGACUGUAUUAGUUUUGGGGCAAGAUAGGCGUACAGUUUGCGCCUAAUGCACCAUAGGCUAAGAAAGCAUUUUGGAUGCACCCGAUGGUACUCCUAGGUAAAGGGGUUAAAGUGAAAUCUUGGUUUGGUAUAUUUGGAGAUAGUGCUAAUCUUGAUGCAAGAUAGGUGCACAGUUUGCAUGGAACGUACCAUAUGCUCAGAAAUCAAUUUGGACGCACCUGAUAGAACUCCUUGAUGACGUGUGUCAUAUGGAAUCUUGCUUCGGUCUGUUUAGAGACAUUGUUAGCUUCGGUAUAAGAUAGGUACACGGUUUGCGCCUAGUUCACCAUAGACUAAGAAACCAUUUUGGACACACCCGACGGUACUUCUAUGUGAAGGGCUCAAGUGGAAGCUUGGUUUGGUCUGUUUGGAGAUAGUGCUAAUCUUAAGGAAAGAUAGGUGUACGGUUUGCAUAGAACAUACCAUAUGCUCAAAAAUCAAUAUGGACGCACCUAAUAGAACUCCUAGAUGAUGUUUGGAGAUAGUGUUAGUUUUAGUGCAAGAUAGGUGUAUGGUUUGCACCUAAUGCACCAUACUCUAAGAAAACAUUUUGGACACACUCGAUGGUACUCCUAGGUGAAGAGGCUCAAGUGGAAGCUCGGUUCGGUCUGUUUGGAGAUAGUGCUAACUUGAUGCAAGAUAGUUGCACGGUUUGCAUGGAACGUAUCAUAUGCUUGGAAAUUAAUUUGGAUGCACUCAAUGGAACUCCUAGAUGACGUGUGUCAUAUGUAAUCUUGCUUUGGUCCAUUUGCGGACAAUGUUAGUUUCGGUGCAAGAUAGGUGCAUGGUUUGCGUCUAAUGCACCAUUGGCUAAGAAACCAUUUUGGACACACCCAAUGGUACUCCUAGGUGAAGGGGCACAAUUGGAGGCUUGCUUUGGUCUGUUAGGAGAUAGUGCUAAUCUUUAAGAAAGAUAGGAGCACGUUUGCAUGGAACAUACCAUAUGCUUAGAAAUCAAUUUGGAUGCAACCGAUGGAACUCCUAGAUGGCGUGUGUCAUAUGGAAUCUUGCUUCAGUUCAUUUGGAGACAGUGUUAGUUUUGGUGCAAGCUAGGUGCAUAGUUUGUGCUGAAUGCACCAUAGUCUAAGAAACCAUUUUGGAUGCACCUAUUUGUACUCCUGGGUGAAGAGGCUCAAGUGGAAGCUCAGUUUGGUAUGUUUGGAGAUAGUGCUAAUCUUGAUGCAAGAUAGAUGCACAGUUUGCAAGGAACGUACCAUAUGCUAAGAAAUCAAUUUGGACACCCGAUGGAACUCCUAGAUGACAUGUGUCAUAUAGAAUCUCACUUUCGUUCGUUUGGAGACAGUAUUAGUUUUGGUGCAAGAUAGGUGCACAGUUUGCGCCUAAUGCACCAUAGGCUAAGAAACCAUUUUGGACACACCCGAUGGUACUCCUAGGUGAAGGGGCUCAAGUGGAAGCUCAGUACGUUCUGUUUGGAGAUAGUGCUAAUCUUUAUGUGUGAUAGGUGCACGGUUUGCAUGGAACAUACCAUAUGCUCAAAAAUCAAUAUGGACGCAAUGAAUAGAACUCCUGGAUGAUGUGUGUCAUCCAGAAUCUCACUUUGUCUGUUUGGAGAUAGUUUUAGUUUGGGUGCAAGAUAGAUGCAUGGUUUGCGCCUAAUGCACCAUACUCUAUGAAAACAUUUUGGACACACUCGAUGGUACUCCUAGGUGAAGAGGCUCAAGUGGAAGCUCGGUUCGGUCUGUUUCGAGGUAGUGCUAACUUGAUGCAAGAUAGUUGCACGGUUUGCAUGGAACGUACCAUAUGCUUGGAAAUCAAUUUGGACGCACCCAAUGUAACUUCUAGAUGACAUGUGUCAUAUGUAAUCUCGCUUUGGUCCGUUUGGAGAUAGUGUUUGUUUCGGUGCAAGCUAGGUGCACUGUUUGCGCCUAAUGCAGCAUAGGCUAAGAAACCAUUUUGAACACACCCGAUGGUACUCCGAGGUGAAGGGGCGCAAGUGGAAGCUUGGUUUGGUCUGUUUGGAGAUAGUGCUAAUCUUUAGGAAAUAUAGGUGCCCAUUUGCAUGGAACGUACCAUAUGCUCGGAAAUCAAUUUAGACGCACUCGAUGGAACUCCUAGAUGACGUGUGUCAUAUGGAAUCUCGCUUUGGUCCGUUUGGAGACAGUGUUAGUUUCGGUGCAAGAUAGGUGCAUGGUUUGUGCCUAAUGCACCAUAGGCUAAGAAACCAUUUUGGACGCACUCGAUGGUACUUCUAGGUGAAGAGGCUCAACUGUAAGCUCGGUUCGGAAAUCAAUUUGGACGCACCCGUUGGAACUCCUAGAUGAGGUGUGUCAUAUGUAUUGUCACACUGGUCCGUUUGGAGACAGUGUUAGUUUUGGGGCAUGAUAGGCGUACAGUUUGCGCCUAAUGCACCAUAGGCUAAGAAAGCAUUUUGGAUGCACUCGAUGGUACUCCUAGGUAAAGGGGUUCAAGUGAAAUCUUGGUUUGGUCUAUUUGGAGAUAGUGCUAAUCUUGAUGCAAGAUAGGUGCACAGUUUGCGCCUAGUUCACCAUAGACUAAGAAACCAUUUUGGACACACCCGAUGGUACUUCUAUGUGAAUAGGCUCAAAUGGAAGCUUGGUUUGGUCUGUUUGAAGAUAGUGCUAAUCUUAAGGAAAGAUAGGUGCACGGUUUGCAUGGAACAUACCAUAUGCUCAAAAAUCAAUAUGGACGCACGUGAUUGAACUCCUAGAUGAUGUUUGGAGAUAGUGUUAGUUUUAGUGCAAGAUAGGUGCAUGGUUUGCACCUAUUGCACCAUACUCUAAGAAAACAUGUUGGACACACUCGAUGGUACUCCUAGGUGAAGAGGCUCAAGUAGAAGCUCGUGGCAGUCUGUUGGAGAUAGUGUAAAUCUUGAUGCAAGAUAGUUACACGGUUUGCAUGGAACGUAUCAUAUGCUUGGAAAUCAAUUUGAUGCACUCGAUGGAACUCCUAGAUGACGUGUGUCAUAUGUAAUCUUGCUUUGGUCCAUUUGGAGACAAUGUUAGUUUCGGUGCAAGAUAGGUGCAUGGUUUGCAUCUAAUGCACCAUUGGCUAAGAAACCAUUUUGGACACACCCAAUGGUACUCCUAGGUGAAGGGGCGCAAGUGGAGGCUUGGUUUGGUCUGUUUGGAGAUAGUGCUAAUCUUUAGGAAAGAUAUGUGCACGUUUGCAUGGAACGUACCAUAUGCUUAGAAAUCAGUUUGGACGCAACCGAUGGAACUCCUAGAUGACGUGUGUCAUAUGGAAUCUUGCUUCAGUUCAUUUGGAGACAGUGUUAGUUUUGGUGCAAGCUAGGUGCAUAGUUUGUGCCGAAUGCACCAUACUCUAAGAAACCAUUUUGGAUGGUGCUAUUUGUACUCCUAGGUGAAGAGGCUCAAGUGGAAGCUCAGUUUGGUCUGUUUGGAGAUAGUGCUAAUCUUGAUGCAAGAUAGAUGCACAGUUUGCAAGGAACGUACCAUAUGCUAAGAAAUCAAUUUGGACACCCGAUGGAACUCCUAGAUGACGUGUGUCAUAUGGAAUCUCACUUUGUUCUGUUUGGAGACAGUGUUAGCUUCAGUGCAAGAUAGGUGCACAGUUUGCGCCUAAUGUACCACAGGCUAAGAAACCAUUUUGGACACACUCGAUGGUACUCCUAGGUGAAGAGGGUCAAGUCGAAGCACGGUUCGAUCUGUUUGGAGAUAGUGCUAAUUUUGAUGUGAGAUACGUGCAUGGUUUGCAUGGAACGUACCAUAUGCUCGAAAAUCAAUUUGGACGCACUAGAUGGAACUCUUAGAUGAGGUGUGUCAUUUGUAAUCUCGCUUUGGUCUGUUGGAGACAAUGUUAGUUUUGGUGCAAGAUAGGUGCACGGUUUGCGGCUAAUGCACCAUAGGCUAAGAAACCAAUUUGGAUGCACUCGAUGGUACUCCUAGGUGAACAGGCUCAAAAGAAAGCUCGAUUCAGUCUAUUUGGAGAUAGUGCUAAUCUUGAUGCAAGAUUGGUGCACAGUUUGCAUGGAACAUACCAUAUGCUUGGAAAUCAAUUUGGACACACCCGAUGGAACUCCUAGAUGACAUGUGUCAUAUGGAUUCUGCUUUGAUAUAUUUGGAGACUGUGUUAGUUUAGGUGCAAGAUAGGUGCACGGUUUGUGCCUAAUGCACCAUAGGAUAAGAACUCAUUUUGGACGCGCACGAAGGUACUCCGAGGUAAAGGGGCUCAAGUGAAAGCUCAGUUUGGUCUGUUUGGAUAUAGUGCUAAUCUUGAUGCAAGAUAGGUGCACGGUUUGCAUGGAACAUACCAUAUGCUCAUAAAUCAAUUUGAACACACCUGAUAGACCUUCUUGAUGACAUGUGUUAUUUGGAAUCUCGAUUUGGUCCGUUUGGAGACAGUGUUAGUUUCAGUGCAAGAUUGGUGCAUGGUUUGUGCCAAAUACACCAUACUCUAAGAAAUCAAUUUGGACGCCCCCGAUGGUACUCCUAGGUGAAGAUCCUCAAAAGAAAGAUCGAUUCCGUCUAUUUAGAGAUAGUGCUAAUCUUGAUGUAAGAUAGGUGCACAGUUUGCAUGGAGCGUACCAUAAGCUCGAAAAUCAGUUUGGAUGCAUCCGAUGGAACACCUAGAUGACAUGUGUCAUAUGGAAUCUCGCUUCGGUCCAUUUGGAGACAGUGUUAGUUUCAGUGCAAGAUAGGUGCACAGUUUGUGCCUAAUGCAUCAUAGUCUAAGAAACCAUUUUGGACACACCUGUUGGUACUCCUUGGUGAAGAGGCUCAAGUGGAAGCUCGGUUCACUCUAUUUGGAGAUAGUGCUAAUCUUGAUGCAAGAUAGGUACACAGAUUGCAUGGAACAUACCAUAUGCUCGAAAAUCAAUUUGGACGCACCCGAUAGAACUCCUAGAUGAGGUGUGUCAUAUGUAAUCUCGCUUUGGUCCGUUUGGAGACAGCGUUAGUUUCGGUGCAAGAUAAGUGCAUGGUUUGGGCCUAAUGCACCAUAGGCUAAGAAACCAUUUUGGAUGCACCCGAUGGUACUCCUAGGUAAAGGGGCUCAAGUGAAAGUCAGGUUUUGUCUGUUUGGAGAUAGUCCUAAAUCCUAAUCUUCAUGCCAUGGUUUGCAUGUAACAUACCAUAUGCUCAAAAAUCAAUUUGGACGCACCCGAUAGAACUCCUAGAAGAUGUAUGUCAUUUAGAAUCUCACUUUGGUCUGUAUGGAGAUAGUGUUAGUUUCAGUGCAAGAUAGGUGCAUGUUUUGCGCCUUAUGCACCAUACUCUAAGAAACCAUUUUGGACGCACCCAUUGGUACUCCUAGGUGAAGAGCCUCAGGUACAAGCGUAGUUUGGUCUAUUUGGAGAUAGUGCUAAUCUUGAUGCAAGAUAGAUGCACAGUUUGCAAGAAACGUACAAUAUGCUAAGAAAUCAAUUUGGACACCCGAUGGAACUCCUAGAUGACGUGUGUCAUAUGGAAUCUCACUUUGUUCUGUUUGGAGACAGUGUUAGCUUCAGUGCAAGAUAGGUGCACAGUUUGCGCCUAAUGUACCACAGGCUAAGAAACCAUUUUGGACACACUCGAUGGUACUCCUAGGUGAAGAGGGUCAAGUCGAAGCACGGUUCGAUCUGUUUGGAGAUAGUGCUAAUUUUGAUGUGAGAUACGUGCAUGGUUUGCAUGGAACGUACCAUAUGCUCGAAAAUCAAUUUGGACGCACUAGAUGGAACUCUUAGAUGAGGUGUGUCAUUUGUAAUCUCGCUUUGGUCUGUUGGAGACAAUGUUAGUUUUGGUGCAAGAUAGGUGCACGGUUUGCGGCUAAUGCACCAUAGGCUAAGAAACCAAUUUGGAUGCACUCGAUGUUACUCCUAGGUGAAGAGGCUCAAAAGAAAGCUCGAUUCAGUCUAUUUGGAGAUAGUGCUAAUCUUGAUGCAAGAUUGGUGCACAGUUUGCAUGGAACAUACCAUAUGCUUGGAAAUCAAUUUGGACACACCCGAUGGAACUCCUAGAUGACAUGUGUCAUAUGGAUUCUGCUUUGAUAUAUUUGGAGACUGUGUUAGUUUAGGUGCAAGAUAGGUGCACGGUUUGUGCCUAAUGCACCAUAGGAUAAGAACUCAUUUUGGACGCGCACGAAGGUACUCCGAGGUAAAGGGGCUCAAGUGAAAGCUCAGUUUGGUCUGUUUGGAUACAGUGCUAAUCUUGAUGCAAGAUAGGUGCACGGUUUGCAUGGAACAUACCAUAUGCUCAUAAAUCAAUUUGAACACACCUGAUAGACCUUCUUGAUGACAUGUGUUAUUUGGAAUCUCGAUUUGGUCCGUUUGGAGACAGUGUUAGUUUCAGUGCAAGAUUGGUGCAUGGUUUGUGCCAAAUACACCAUACUCUAAGAAAUCAAUUUGGACGCCCCCGAUGGUACUCCUAGGUGAAGAUCCUCAAAAGAAAGAUCGUUUCCGUCUAUUUAGAGAUAGUGCUAAUCUUGAUGUAAGAUAGGUGCACAGUUUGCAUGGAGCGUACCAUAAGCUCGAAAAUCAGUUUGGAUGCAUCCGAUGGAACACCUAGAUGACAUGUGUCAUAUGGAAUCUCGCUUCGGUCCAUUUGGAGACAGUGUUAGUUUCAGUGCAAGAUAGGUGCACAGUUUGUGCCUAAUGCAUCAUAGUCUAAGAAACCAUUUUGGACACACCUGUUGGUACUCCUUGGUGAAGAGGCUCAAGUGGAAGCUCGGUUCACUCUAUUUGGAGAUAGUGCUAAUCUUGAUGCAAGAUAGGUACACAGAUUGCAUGGAACGUACCAUAUGCUCGAAAAUCAAUUUGGACGCACCCGAUAGAACUCCUAGAUGAGGUGUGUCAUAUGUAAUCUCGCUUUGGUCCGUUUGGAGACAGCGUUAGUUUCGGUGCAAGAUAAGUGCAUGGUUUGGGCCUAAUGCACCAUAGGCUAAGAAACCAUUUUGGAUGCACCCGAUGGUACUCCUAGGUAAAGGGGCUCAAGUGAAAGUCAGGUUUUGUCUGUUUGGAGAUAGUCCUAAAUCCUAAUCUUCAUGCCAUGGUUUGCAUGUAACAUACCAUAUGCUCAAAAAUCAAUUUGGACGCACCCGAUAGAACUCCUAGAAGAUGUAUGUCAUUUAGAAUCUCACUUUGGUCUGUAUGGAGAUAGUGUUAGUUUCAGUGCAAGAUAGGUGCAUGUUUUGCGCCUUAUGCACCAUACUCUAAGAAACCAUUUUGGACGCACCCAUUGGUACUCCUAGGUGAAGAGCCUCAGGUACAAGCGUAGUUUGGUCUAUUUGGAGAUAGUGCUAAUCUUGAUGCAAGAUAGAUGCACAGUUUGCAAGAAACGUACAAUAUGCUAAGAAAUCAAUUUGGACACCCGAUGGAACUCCUAGAUUACGUGUGUCAUAUGGAAUCUCACUUUGUUCUGUUUGGAGACAGUGUUAGCUUCAGUGCAAGAUAGGUGCACAGUUUGCGCCUAAUGUACCACAGGCUAAGAAACCAUUUUGGACACACUCGAUGGUACUCCUAGGUGAAGAGGGUCAAGUCGAAGCACGGUUCGAUCUGUUUGGAGAUAGUGCUAAUUUUGAUGUGAGAUACGUGCAUGGUUUGCAUGGAACGUACCAUAUGCUCGAAAAUCAAUUUGGACGCACUAGAUGGAACUCUUAGAUGAGGUGUGUCAUUUGUAAUCUCGCUUUGGUCUGUUGGAGACAAUGUUAGUUUUGGAGCAAGAUAGGUGCACGGUUUGCGGCUAAUGCACCAUAGGCUAAGAAACCAAUUUGGAUGCACUCGAUGGUACUCCUAGGUGAAGAGGCUCAAAAGAAAGCUCGAUUCAGUCUAUUUGGAGAUAGUGCUAAUCUUGAUGCAAGAUUGGUGCACAGUUUGCAUGGAACAUACCAUAUGCUUGGAAAUCAAUUUGGACACACCCGAUGGAACUCCUAGAUGACAUGUGUCAUAUGGAUUCUGCUUUGAUAUAUUUGGAGACUGUGUUAGUUUAGGUGCAAGAUAGGUGCACGGUUUGUGCCUAAUGCACCAUAGGAUAAGAACUCAUUUUGGACGCGCACGAAGGUACUCCGAGGUAAAGGGGCUCAAGUGAAAGCUCAGUUUGGUCUGUUUGGAUAUAGUGCUAAUCUUGAUGCAAGAUAGGUGCACGGUUUGCAUGGAACAUACCAUAUGCUCAUAAAUCAAUUUGAACACACCUGAUAGACCUUCUUGAUGACAUGUGUUAUUUGGAAUCUCGAUUUGGUCCGUUAGGAGACAGUGUUAGUUUCAGUGCAAGAUUGGUGCAUGGUUUGUGCCAAAUACACCAUACUCUAAGAAAUCAUUUUGGACGCCCCCGAUGGUACUCCUAGGUGAAGAUCCUCAAAAGAAAGAUCGAUUCCGUCUAUUUAGAGAUAGUGCUAAUCUUGAUGUAAGAUAGGUGCACAGUUUGCAUGGAGCGUACCAUAAGCUCGAAAAUCAGUUUGGAUGCAUCCGAUGGAACACCUAGAUGACAUGUGUCAUAUGGAAUCUCGCUUCGGUCCAUUUGGAGACAGUGUUAGUUUCAGUGCAAGAUAGGUGCACAGUUUGUGCCUAAUGCAUCAUAGUCUAAGAAACCAUUUUGGACACACCUGUUGGUACUCCUUGGUGAAGAGGCUCAAGUGGAAGCUCGGUUCACUCUAUUUGGAGAUAGUGCUAAUCUUGAUGCAAGAUAGGUACACAGAUUGCAUGGAAUGUACCAUAUGCUCGAAAAUCAAUUUGGACGCACCCGAUAGAACUCCUAGAUGAGGUGUGUCAUAUGUAAUCUCGCUUUGGUCCGUUUGGAGACAGCGUUAGUUUCGGUGCAAGAUAAGUGCAUGGUUUGGGCCUAAUGCACCAUAGGCUAAGAAACCAUUUUGGAUGCACCCGAUGGUACUCCUAGGUAAAGGGGCUCAAGUGAAAGUCAGGUUUUGUCUGUUUGGAGAUAGUCCUAAAUCCUAAUCUUCAUGCCAUGGUUUGCAUGUAACAUACCAUAUGCUCAAAAAUCAAUUUGGACGCACCCGAUAGAACUCCUAGAAGAUGUAUGUCAUUUAGAAUCUCACUUUGGUCUGUAUGGAGAUAGUGUUAGUUUCAGUGCAAGAUAGGUGCAUGUUUUGCGCCUUAUGCACCAUACUCUAAGAAACCAUUUUGGACGCAUCCAUUGGUAUUCCUAGGUGAAGAGCCUCAGGUACAAGCGUAGUUUGGUCUAUUUGGAGAUAGUGCUAAUCUUAAUGCAAGAUAGUUGCAUGGUUUGCAUGGAACGUACCAUAUGCUUGGAAAUCAAUUUGGACGCACCCGAUGGAACUCCUAGAUGAUGUGUGUCAUAUGUAAUCUCACUUUCGUUCGUUUGGAGACAGUGUUAGUUUCAGUGCAAGAUAGGUGCACAGUUUGCGCCUAAUGCACCAUAGGCUAAGAAACCAUUUUGGACACACCCGAUGGUACUCCUUGGUGAAGGGGCUCAAGUGGAAGCUCAGUACGGUCUGUUUGGAGAUAGUGCUAAUCUUUAUGUAUGAUAGGUGCACAGUUUGCAUGGAACAUACCAUAUGCUCAAAAAUCAGUAUGGACGCACUGAAUAGAACUCCUAGAUGAUGUGUGUCAUCUAGAAUCUCACUUUGUCUGUUUGGAGAUAGUUUUAGUUUGGGUGCAAGAUAGAUGCAUGGUUUGCGCCUAAUGCACCAUACUCUAAGAAAACAUUUUGGACACACUCGAUGGUACUCCUAGGUGAAGAGGCUCAAGUGGAAGCUCGGUUCGGUCUGUUUGGAGAUAGUGCUAACUUGAUGCAAGAUAGUUGCACAGUUUGCAUGGAACGUACCAUAUGCUUGGAAAUCAAUUUGGACGCACCCAAUGGAAUUCCAACUCCUAGAUGAGGUGUGUCAUAUGUAAUCUUGCUUUGGUCCGUUUGGAGACAGCGUUAGUUUCGGUGCAAGAUAAGUGCACGGUUUGCGCCUAAUGCUCCAUAGGCCAAGAAACCAUUUUGGACGCACUAAUGCGAACCCGCUAGGGUUUUUGGCCUGAUCUUUCGAUGAGAGGCGCUGGAUAACUCGAUUAGUGGAUGGAGAUGACGUUCACGGCCCAACUACAGCCCUCAAGACCGCGCCUUAGCAACCGAUACACCACGUCCAAUAGCCGUCACGAUCUUGUGGAGCGCGACAACCAGCCCCUAGGGCUCCCGUCCUACAAGCAAUCGAAGAACUAGCAAGAACGAGGAAACAAGCACUGAAUUUGCAAGAUGAAUUGAAGGUUUCAAACUGAAUCUGAAUCAACAAUGGGGUUCCGAAGACAAGGAGACGGGCGGCUGAUCCUGCACGCGCGCCUACAAGCAAGUAGCGAAGGCUAAACUUGAUCUAAACAAAACCCAGUUGUUCAUGGCGGCUCUAGAUGUAAAUAAAUAUAGGGGAGGACGACCAAAGGGGUGCUAGAGUCGUCCUCCAACCCUAGGACGCGUCCCUAAUGGACUCAACUUGAUACAUGGGCCAUUGGUCCAAAAUAGGGUGACGCAGCACCAAAACAGAAAAAGGUGUCGGCACGAAAACAAGGACUGCGCCCGACUCAUAAGCUGCAUAGAUAUGUGGUUGGACCCAUUGGAAAGUAGACUUUUUGAGCUUUCCAACAAGUAUAGGAACGUCCCAGUUGGAGUCCAUAUGACGCCGUGGUGAUCCAUACAAGUUAGAGUUAUUUUCCAGUCCGAAUCCAACUCCCAAAACGUGUUGGGUUUGGACUCUUUGUUUCCUUGCUUUAGAAGCGACGUGGUAACUUGAUAGAGGAUGUUGUGGAGGCUUGGACCUGAUCUCCAAUCACCUUUGUUAAGUUAUCACUCUUCCCAUAUGCAAUCAGCCCUUGAAGUUGGUGUUGCCUCAAAUUCUGAAUGCAGUUGAACCUUCCCUUGCUGAUCUUGUCCAUUAUUCCUGAGCAACACGAAAGUGCACGUGUCUCCAUUGUCUAAAUAUGAUUGACAAGAGUUUAAAACUGAACUUACUUGAAGGUUGAGUUGACGGGCACGAGCACGAGUAAGAGGACCAGCUAUAGGUUGUGUCGGAGAGAAUGUAGGACCAGCUAUAGGUUGUGCCGGAGAGGAUGUAGGAUAUGUAUCGCUGGUGGAUGUAGGAUAUGUAUCGCUGGUGUUGAUGUCCUCAUCACGCACCCGAUGGUUCUCCUAGUUAAAGGGGCUCAAUGAAAGCUAUGUUUUGUCUGUUUGGAGAUAGUCCUAAUCUUCAUGUAAGAUUGGUGCAUGAUUUGCAUGUAACGUACCAUAUGCUUGGAAAUCAAUUUGGACACACACGCAAUAGAACUUCUGGAUGACUCGUGUCAUAUGGAAUCUCGCUUCGGUCAGUUUGAAGACCGUGUUAGUUUCGGUGCAAGAUAGGUCUACCGUUUGCGCCUACUGCACCAUAGGCUAAGAAACCAUUUUGGAUGCACCCGAUGGUACUCCUUGGUAGAGGGGCUCAAGUGAAAGCUUGGUUUGGUCUAUUUGGAGAUAGUGCUAAUCUUGAUGCAAGAUAGGUGCAUGGUUUGCAUGGAACGUACCAUAUGCUCAGAAAUCAAUUUGGACGCACGCGAUAUAACUCCUUGAUAACGUGUGUCGUAUGGAAUCCUGCUUCAGUCCGUUUGGAGACAGUGUUUGUUUUAGUGCAAAAUAUGUGCACGAUUUGUGCCUAGUGCACCAUAGGCUAAGAAACAAUUUUAGACGCACCCGAUGGUACUCCUAGGUAAAUAGGCUUAAGUGGGAGCUCGGUUUGGUCUGUCCAGAGAUAGUGCCAAUCUUGAUGCAAGAUAGGUGCACGGUUUACAUGGAACGUACGAUAUGCUCGGAAAUCAAUUUGGACUGACCAAAUGGAACUCCUAAAUGACGAGUGUCAUAUGGAAUCUUUCUUGGGUCUAUUUAGAGACAUUGUUAGUUUUGGUGCAAGAUAGGUACACAGGCCUAGGCUAAGAAACCAUUUUGGACACACCUGAUGGAACUCGUGGUGAAGGGGCUCAAGUGGAAGCCUGGUUUGGUCUGUUUGGAGAUAGUGCUAAUCUUGAGGAAAGAUAGCUGCACGGUUUGCAUGGAACGUACCAUAUGCUCAGAAAUCAAUUUGGACGCACCUGAUGGAACUCCUUGAGGACGUGUGUCAUAUGGAAUCUCACUUUGGUCCAUUUGGAGAUUAUGUUAGUUUCGGUGCAAGAUAGGUGCACGGUUUGCGCCUAAUGCACUAUAGGCUUAGAAACCGUUGUGCAAGCACGUGAUGGUACUCCUAGGUGAAGAGGCUCAAGUAAAGUUCGAUAAGGUCUAUUUGGAGAUAGCGCUAAUCUUCAUGUAAGAUAGGUGCACGGUUUGCAUGGAACAUUCCAUAUGCUCAAAAAUCAAUUUGCACGCACACGAUAGAACUCCUAGAUGAUGUGUGUUAUGUGGAAUCUCGCUUUGGUCUAUUCGGAGAUAGUGUUAGUUUCGAUGCAAGAUAGGUGCAUGGUUUGCUCCUAAUGCACUAUCUCUAAGAAUCCAUUUUGGACACACCCAAUGGUACUCCUAGGUGAAGAGGCUCAAGUAGAAGCUCGGUUCGGUCUGUUGGGAGAUAGUUUAAAUCUUGAUGAAAGAUAGUUGCACGGUUUGCAUGGAACAUACCAUAUGCUCAGAAAUCAAUUUGGACACACCUGAUGGAACUUCUAGAUGACGUGUGUCAUAUGUAAUCUCGCGUUGGUCCGUUUGGAGAUAGUGUUUGUUUCGGUGCAAGCUAGGUGCACGGUUUGCGCCUAAUGCAGCAUAGGCAAAGAAACCAUUUUGGACACACCCGAUGGUACUCCGAGGUGAAGGGGUGCAAGUGGAAGCUUGGUUUGGUCUAUUUGGAGAUAGUGCUAAUCUUUGGGAAAUAUAGGUGCCCUUUUGCAUCGAACGUACCAUAUGCUCGGAAAUCAAUUUAGACGCACUCGAUGGAACUCCUAGAUGACGUGUGUCAUAUGGAAUCUCGCUUUGGUACGUUUGGAAACAGUGUUAGUUUCGGUGCAAGAUAGGUGCAUGGUUUGUGCCUAAUGCACCAUUGGCUAAGAAACCAUUUUGGACGCACUCGAUGGUACUCCUAGGUGAAGAGGCUCAAUUGUAAGCUCAGUUGGGAAAUCAAUUUGGACGCACCCGUUGGAACUCCUAGAUUUGGUGAGUCAUAUGUAUUCUCACAUUGGUCCGUUUGGAGACAGUGUUAGUUUUGGGGCAUGAUAGGCGUACAUUUUGCGCCUAAUGCACCAUAGGCUAAGAAAGCAUUUUGGAUGCACCCGAUGGUACUCCUAGGUAAAGGGGUUCAAGUGAAAUCUUGGUUUGGUCUAUUUGGAGAUAGUGCUAAUCUUGAUGCAAGAUAGGUGCACAGUUUGCAUGGAACGUACCAUAUGCUCAGAAAUCAAUUUGGAUGCACCUGAUAGAACUCCUUGAUGACAUGUCAUAUGGAAUCUUGGUUCGGUCUGUUUAGAGACAUUGGUUAGUUUUGGUGCAAGAUAGGUACACGGUUUGCGCCUAGUUCACCAUAGACUAAGAGACCAUUUUUGACACACCCGAUGGUACUUCUAUGUGAAGGGGCUCAAGUGGAAGCUUGGUUUGGUCUGUUUGGAGAUAGUGCUAAUCUUAAGGAAAGAUAGGUGCACGGUUUGCAUGGAACAUACCAUAUGCUCAAAAAUCAAUAUGGACGCACCUGAUAGAACUCCUAGAUGAUGUUUGGAGAUAGUGUUAGUUUUAGUGCAAGAUAGGUGUAUGGUUUGCACCUAAUGCACCAUACUCUAAGAAAACAUUUUGGACACACUCGAUGGUACUCCUAGGUGAAGAGGCUCAAGUGGAAGCUUUGUUCUAUGUGUUUGGAGAUAGUGCUAACUUGAGGCAAGAUAGUUGCACGGUUUGCAUGGAACGUACCGUAUGCUCGGAAUUCAAUUUGGACGCACCAUACUCUAAGAAAACAUUUUGGACACAAUCGAUGGUACUCCUAGGUGAAGAGGGUCAAAUGGAAGCUCGGUUCGGUCUGUUUGGAGAUAGUGCUAACUUGAUGCAAGAUAGUUGCACGGUUUGCAUGGAACGUAUCAUAUGCUUGGAAAUCAAUUUGGAUGCACUCGAUGGAACUCCUAGAUGACGUGUGUCAUAUGUAAUCUUGCUGUGGUCCAUUUGGAGACAAUGUUAGUUUCAGUGCAAGAUAGGUGCAUGGUUUGCGUCUAAUGCACCAUUGGCUAAGAAACCAUUUUGGACACACCCAAUGGUACUCCAAGGUGAAGGGCGCAAGUGGAGGCUUGGUUUGGUCUGUUUGGAGAUAGUGCUAAUCUUUAGGAAAGAUAGGUGCACAUUUGCUUGGAACGUACCAUAUGCUUAGAAAUCAAUUUGGACGCAACCGAUAGAACUCCUAGAUGACGUGUGUCAUAUGGAAUCUUGCUUCAGUUCAUUUGGAGACAGUGUUAGUUUUGGUGCAAGCUAGGUGCAUAGUUUGUGCCGAAUGCACCAUAGUCUAAGAAACCAUUUUGGAUGCACCUAUUUGUACUCCUGGGUGAAGAGGCUCAAGUGGAAGCUCAGUUUGGUCUGUUUGGAGAUAGUGCUAAUCUUGUUGCAAGAUAGAUGCACAGUUUGCAAGGAACGUACCAUAUACUAAGAAAUCAAUUUGGACACACGAUGGAACUCCUAGAUGACAUGUGUCAUAUGGAAUCUCGCUUUCGUUCGUUUGGAGACAGUGUUAGCUUUAGUGCAAGAUAGGUGCACAGUUUGUGCCUAAUGUACCACAGGCUAAGAAACCGUUUUGGACACACUCGAUGGUACUCCUAGGUGAUGAGGGUCAAGUCGAAGCACGGUUCGAUCUGUUUGGAGAUAGUGCUAAUUUUGAUGUGAGAUACGUGCACGGUUUGCAUAGAACGUACCAUAUGCUCGAAAAUCAAUUUGGACGCACCAGAUGGAACUCCUAGAUGAGGUGUGUCAUAUGUAAUCUCGCUUUGGUCUGUUGGAGACAAUGUUAGUUUGGUGCAAGAUAGGUGCACGGUUUGCGCCUAAUGCACUAUAGGCUAAGAAACCAUUUUGGAUGCACUCGAUGGUACUCCUAGGUGAAGAGGCUCAAAAGAAAGCUCGAUUCAGUCUAUUUGGAGAUAGUGCUAAUAUUGAUUCAAGAUUGGUGCACAGUUUGCAUUGAACAUACCAUAUGCUUGGAAAUCAAUUUGGACGCACCCGAUGGAACUCCUAGAUGACGUGUGUCAUAUGGAUUCUGCUUUGAUAUAUUUGGAGACUAUGUUAGUUUAGGUGCAAGAUAGGUGCACGGUUUGCGCCUAAUGCACCAUAGGAUAAGAACCCAUUUUGGACGCACACGAUGGUACUCCUAGGUAAAGGGGCUCAAGUGAAAGCUCAGUUUGGUCUGUUUAGAUAUAGUGCUAAUCUUGAUGCAAGAUAGGUGCACGGUUUGCAUGGAACAUACCAUAUGCUCAUAAAUCAAUUUGAACAUACCUGAUAUACCUUCUUGAUGACAUGUGUUAUUUGGAAUCUCGAUUUGGUCCGUUUGGAGACGGUGUUAGUUUCAGUGCAAGAUUGGUGCAUGGUUUGUGCCAAAUACACCAUACUCUAAGAAAUCAAUUUGGACACACCCGAUGGUACUCCUAGGUGAAGAUCCUCAAAAGAAAGCUCGAUUUCGUCUAUUUAGAGAUAGUGCUAAUCUUGAUGUGAGAUAGGUGCACAGUUUNNNNNNNNNNNNNNNNNNNNNNNNNNNNNNNNNNNNNNNNNNNNNNNNNNNNNNNNNNNNNNNNNNNNNNNNNNNNNNNNNNNNNNNNNNNNNNNNNNNNNNNNNNNNNNNNNNNNNNNNNNNNNNNNNNNNNNNNNNNNNNNNNNNNNNNNNNNNNNNNNNNNNNNNNNNNNNNNNNNNNNNNNNNNNNNNNNNNNNNNNNNNNNNNNNNNNNNNNNNNNNNNNNNNNNNNNNNNNNNNNNNNNNNNNNNNNNNNNNNNNNNNNNNNNNNNNNNNNNNNNNNNNNNNNNNNNNNNNNNNNNNNNNNNNNNNNNNNNNNNNNNNNNNNNNNNNNNNNNNNNNNNNNNNNNNNNNNNNNNNNNNNNNNNNNNNNNNNNNNNNNNNNNNNNNNNNNNNNNNNNNNNNNNNNNNNNNNNNNNNNNNNNNNNNNNNNNNNNNNNNNNNNNNNNNNNNNNNNNNNNNNNNNNNNNNNNNNNNNNNNNNNNNNNNNNNNNNNNNNNNNNNNNNNNNNNNNNNNNNNNNNNNNNNNNNNNNNNNNNNNNNNNNNNNNNNNNNNNNNNNNNNNNNNNNNNNNNNNNNNNNNNNNNNNNNNNNNNNNNNNNNNNNNNNNNNNNNNNNNNNNNNNNNNNNNNNNNNNNNNNNNNNNNNNNNNNNNNNNNNNNNNNNNNNNNNNNNNNNNNNNNNNNNNNNNNNNNNNNNNNNNNNNNNNNNNNNNNNNNNNNNNNNNNNNNNNNNNNNNNNNNNNNNNNNNNNNNNNNNNNNNNNNNNNNNNNNNNNNNNNNNNNNNNNNNNNNNNNNNNNNNNNNNNNNNNNNNNNNNNNNNNNNNNNNNNNNNNNNNNNNNNNNNNNNNNNNNNNNNNNNNNNNNNNNNNNNNNNNNNNNNNNNNNNNNNNNNNNNNNNNNNNNNNNNNNNNNNNNNNNNNNNNNNNNNNNNNNNNNNNNNNNNNNNNNNNNNNNNNNNNNNNNNNNNNNNNNNNNNNNNNNNNNNNNNNNNNNNNNNNNNNNNNNNNNNNNNNNNNNNNNNNNNNNNNNNNNNNNNNNNNNNNNNNNNNNNNNNNNNNNNNNNNNNNNNNNNNNNNNNNNNNNNNNNNNNNNNNNNNNNNNNNNNNNNNNNNNNNNNNNNNNNNNNNNNNNNNNNNNNNNNNNNNNNNNNNNNNNNNNNNNNNNNNNNNNNNNNNNNNNNNNNNNNNNNNNNNNNNNNNNNNNNNNNNNNNNNNNNNNNNNNNNNNNNNNNNNNNNNNNNNNNNNNNNNNNNNNNNNNNNNNNNNNNNNNNNNNNNNNNNNNNNNNNNNNNNNNNNNNNNNNNNNNNNNNNNNNNNNNNNNNNNNNNNNNNNNNNNNNNNNNNNNNNNNNNNNNNNNNNNNNNNNNNNNNNNNNNNNNNNNNNNNNNNNNNNNNNNNNNNNNNNNNNNNNNNNNNNNNNNNNNNNNNNNNNNNNNNNNNNNNNNNNNNNNNNNNNNNNNNNNNNNNNNNNNNNNNNNNNNNNNNNNNNNNNNNNNNNNNNNNNNNNNNNNNNNNNNNNNNNNNNNNNNNNNNNNNNNNNNNNNNNNNNNNNNNNNNNNNNNNNNNNNNNNNNNNNNNNNNNNNNNNNNNNNNNNNNNNNNNNNNNNNNNNNNNNNNNNNNNNNNNNNNNNNNNNNNNNNNNNNNNNNNNNNNNNNNNNNNNNNNNNNNNNNNNNNNNNNNNNNNNNNNNNNNNNNNNNNNNNNNNNNNNNNNNNNNNNNNNNNNNNNNNNNNNNNNNNNNNNNNNNNNNNNNNNNNNNNNNNNNNNNNNNNNNNNNNNNNNNNNNNNNNNNNNNNNNNNNNNNNNNNNNNNNNNNNNNNNNNNNNNNNNNNNNNNNNNNNNNNNNNNNNNNNNNNNNNNNNNNNNNNNNNNNNNNNNNNNNNNNNNNNNNNNNNNNNNNNNNNNNNNNNNNNNNNNNNNNNNNNNNNNNNNNNNNNNNNNNNNNNNNNNNNNNNNNNNNNNNNNNNNNNNNNNNNNNNNNNNNNNNNNNNNNNNNNNNNNNNNNNNNNNNNNNNNNNNNNNNNNNNNNNNNNNNNNNNNNNNNNNNNNNNNNNNNNNNNNNNNNNNNNNNNNNNNNNNNNNNNNNNNNNNNNNNNNNNNNNNNNNNNNNNNNNNNNNNNNNNNNNNNNNNNNNNNNNNNNNNNNNNNNNNNNNNNNNNNNNNNNNNNNNNNNNNNNNNNNNNNNNNNNNNNNNNNNNNNNNNNNNNNNNNNNNNNNNNNNNNNNNNNNNNNNNNNNNNNNNNNNNNNNNNNNNNNNNNNNNNNNNNNNNNNNNNNNNNNNNNNNNNNNNNNNNNNNNNNNNNNNNNNNNNNNNNNNNNNNNNNNNNNNNNNNNNNNNNNNNNNNNNNNNNNNNNNNNNNNNNNNNNNNNNNNNNNNNNNNNNNNNNNNNNNNNNNNNNNNNNNNNNNNNNNNNNNNNNNNNNNNNNNNNNNNNNNNNNNNNNNNNNNNNNNNNNNNNNNNNNNNNNNNNNNNNNNNNNNNNNNNNNNNNNNNNNNNNNNNNNNNNNNNNNNNNNNNNNNNNNNNNNNNNNNNNNNNNNNNNNNNNNNNNNNNNNNNNNNNNNNNNNNNNNNNNNNNNNNNNNNNNNNNNNNNNNNNNNNNNNNNNNNNNNNNNNNNNNNNNNNNNNNNNNNNNNNNNNNNNNNNNNNNNNNNNNNNNNNNNNNNNNNNNNNNNNNNNNNNNNNNNNNNNNNNNNNNNNNNNNNNNNNNNNNNNNNNNNNNNNNNNNNNNNNNNNNNNNNNNNNNNNNNNNNNNNNNNNNNNNNNNNNNNNNNNNNNNNNNNNNNNNNNNNNNNNNNNNNNNNNNNNNNNNNNNNNNNNNNNNNNNNNNNNNNNNNNNNNNNNNNNNNNNNNNNNNNNNNNNNNNNNNNNNNNNNNNNNNNNNNNNNNNNNNNNNNNNNNNNNNNNNNNNNNNNNNNNNNNNNNNNNNNNNNNNNNNNNNNNNNNNNNNNNNNNNNNNNNNNNNNNNNNNNNNNNNNNNNNNNNNNNNNNNNNNNNNNNNNNNNNNNNNNNNNNNNNNNNNNNNNNNNNNNNNNNNNNNNNNNNNNNNNNNNNNNNNNNNNNNNNNNNNNNNNNNNNNNNNNNNNNNNNNNNNNNNNNNNNNNNNNNNNNNNNNNNNNNNNNNNNNNNNNNNNNNNNNNNNNNNNNNNNNNNNNNNNNNNNNNNNNNNNNNNNNNNNNNNNNNNNNNNNNNNNNNNNNNNNNNNNNNNNNNNNNNNNNNNNNNNNNNNNNNNNNNNNNNNNNNNNNNNNNNNNNNNNNNNNNNNNNNNNNNNNNNNNNNNNNNNNNNNNNNNNNNNNNNNNNNNNNNNNNNNNNNNNNNNNNNNNNNNNNNNNNNNNNNNNNNNNNNNNNNNNNNNNNNNNUUUGGAGAUAGUGCUAAUCCUUAUGCAAUGUAGGUGCAUGGUUUGCAUGGAACAUAGCAUAUGCUUGGAAAUCAAUUUGGAUGCACCCGAUAGAACUCCUUGAUGACGUGUGUCAUAUGGAAUCUCGCUUCGGUCCAUUUGGAGACAUUGUUAGUUUCGGUGCAAGAUAGUGCACAGUUUGCACCUAAUACACCAUAGUCUAAGAAACCAUUUUGGACGCACUUGUUGCUACUCCUAGGUGAAGGGGCUCAAGUGGAUUCUCGGUUCCAUCUGUUUGGAGAUAGUGCUAAUCUUGAUGCAAGAUACGUGCACGGUUUUCAUGGAACAUACCAAAUGCUUGGAAAUCAAUCUCGACACACAUGAUUGAACUCCUUGAUGACGUGUGUCAUAUGGAAUCUCGCUUUGGUGUGCUUAGAGACAGUAUUAGUUUUGGUAGAAGAUAUGUGGACGGUUUGCGCCUAAUGCACCAAAGUCUAGGAAACCAUUUUGGAAGCACCUGUUGGUACUCCUAGGUGAAGAGGCUCAAGUGGAGGCUCGGUUUGGUCUGUUUAGAGAUAAUUCCAAUCUUGAUGCAAGAUAGUUACACAGUUUGCAUGGAACGUACCAUAUGUUAAGAAAUCAAUUUGGACACAGCCAAUGGAACUCCUGGAUGACGUGUGUCAUAUGAAAUCUCGCUUCGGUCUGUUUGGAGACAAUGUUAGUUUCGGUGCAAGAUAAGUGCACGGUUUGCACCUAAGAAACCAUUUUGGACACACCCAAUGGCACUCCUAGGUCAAGGGGCUCAAGUGAAAGCUCGGUUUGGUCUGUUUGGAGAUAGUGCUAAUCUUGAUGCAAGAUAGAUGCACAGUUUGCAUGGAACAUACGAUAUGCUCACAAAUCAAUUAGGGCGCACCUGAUAUAACUCCUUUAUGAUGUGUGUCAUAUGGAAUCUUGCUUCGGUCGUUUAGAGACAGUGUUAGUUUUGGAAGAAGAUAUGUGCACGGUUUACGCCUAAGCAGCAUAGGCCAAGAAACCAUUUUAGACGCACCCGAUGGUGCUCGUAGUUGAAGAGGCUCAAGUGGAGGCUCGAUUUGGUCUGUUCGGAUAUAGUGCUAAUCAUGAUGCAAGAUAGUUGCACAGUUUGCAUGGAACGUACCAUAUGUUAAGAAAUCAAUUUGGAUCCACCUAAUGGAACUCCUAGAUGACGUGUGUCAUAUAAAAUCUCGCUUCGGUCUGUUUGAAGACAAUGAUAGCUUCGGUGCAAGAUAGGUGCAUAGUUUGUGCCUAAUGCACCAUAGUCUAAGAAACCAUUUUUGACGCACCUGUUUGUACUCCUAGAUAAAGAGGCUCAAGUGGAAGCUUGGUUCGGUCUGUUUGGAGAUAGUGCUAAUCUUGAUGCAAGAUAGGUGUAUGAUUUGCAUGGAACAUACCAUAUGCUCAAAAAUCAAUUUGGACACACCAGAUGGAACUCCUAGAUGACAUAUGUAAUAUGGAAUCUCCCUUCGGUCCGUUUAGAGACAGUGUUAGUUUCAGUGCAAGAUAGAUGCACGGAUUGCACCUAAUGCACCAUAGGAUAAGAAAUCAUUUUGGACGCACCCGAUGGUACUCCUAGGUCAAUGGGCUCAAGUGAAAGCUCGGUUUGGUCUGCUUGGAGAUAGUGCUAAUCUUGAUGCAUGAUAGAUGCACGGUUUGCAUGGAACAUACGAUAUGCUUAGAAAUCAAUUUGGACGCACCUCAUAUAACGCCUUGAUGAUGUGUGUCAUAUGGAAUCUUGCUUCGGUUCGUUUAGAUACAGUGUUAGUUUUGGUAGAAGAUAUGUGCACGAUUUACGCCAAAUACACCAUAGGCUAAGAAACCAUUUUAGACGCAUCCGAUGGUACUCGUAGUUGAAGAGGCUCAAGUGGAGGCUCGAUUUGGUUUCUUCGUAUAUAGUGCUAAUCUUGAUGCAAGAUAGUUGCAAAGUUUGCAUGCAACGUACCAUAUGUUAAGAAAUCAAUUUGGACGCACCCAAUGGAACUCCAAGAUGACGUGUGUCAUGGAAUCUCGCUUUGUUUGUUCAGAGACAAUGUUAGUUUCGGUGCAAGAUAUGUGCACGGUUUGCGCCUAAUGCACCAAAGUCUAAGAAACCAUUUUGGAAGCACCUAAUGGUACUCCUAGGUGAAGAGGCUCAAGUGGAGGCUCGGUUCGGUCUUUUUAGAGAUAGUGCUAAUCUUGAUGCGAAAUAGGUGCACGGUUUGCAUGGAACAUACAAUAUGCUUGGAAAUCNNNNNNNNNNNNNNNNNNNNNNNNNNNNNNNNNNNNNNNNNNNNNNNNNNNNNNNNNNNNNNNNNNNNNNNNNNNNNNNNNNNNNNNNNNNNNNNNNNNNCUCGGUUCACUCUUUUUGGAGAUAGUGCUAAUCUUGAUGCUAGAUAGGUACACAGAUUGCAUGGAACGUACCAUAUGCUCGAAAAUCAAUUUGGACGCACCCGAUGGAACUCCUAGAUGAUGUGUGUCAUAUGUAAUCUCACUUUUGUUCGUUUGGAGACAGUGUUAGUUUCGGUGCAAGAUAGGUGCAUGGUUUGCGCCUAAUCCACCAUAGGCUAAGAAACCAUUUUGGAUGCACCCGAUGGUACUCCUAGGUAAAGGGGCUCAAGUGAAAGUUAUGUUUUGUUUGUUUGGAGAUAGUCCUAAAUCCUAAUCUUCGUGUCAUGGUUUGCAUGUAACAUACCAAAUGCUCAAAAAUCAAUUUGGACGCACCCGAUAGAACUCCUAGAAGAUGUAUGUCAUUUAGAAUCUCGCUUUGGUCUGUAUGGAGAUAGUAUUAGUUUCAAUGCAAGAUAGGUGCAUGGUUUGCGCCUAAUGCACCAUACUCUAAGAAACCAUUUUGGACGCACCCAGUGGUACUCCUAGCUGAAGAGCCUCAAGUACAAGCAUAGUUUGGUCUAUUUAGAGAUAGUGCUAAUCUUAAUGCAAGAUAGUUGUACGGUUUGCAUGGAACGUACCAUAUGCUUGGAAAUCAAUUUGGACACACCCAAUGGAACUCCAACUCCUAGAUGAGGUGUGUCAUAUGUGAUCUCGCUUUGGUCCGUUUGGAGACAGCGUUAGUUUCGGUGCAAGAUAAAUGCACGGUAUGCACCUAAUGCACCAUAGGCUAAGAAACCAUUUUGGACGCACCCGAUGGUUCUCCUAGGUAAAGGGGCUCAAUGAAAGCCACGUUUUGUCUGUUUGGAGAUAGUCAUAAUCAUCAUAUAAGAUAGAUGCAUGGUUUGCAUGUAAGGUACCAUACGCUUGGAAAUCAAUUUGGACGCACCCAAUAGAACUUCUACAUGACUCGAGUUAUAUGGAAUCUCGCUUCGGUCUGUUCGAAGAUAGUGUUAGUUUCGGUGCAAGAUAGGUGUACCGUUUGCGCCUAAUGCACCAUAGGCUAAGAAACCAUUUUGAAUGCUCCCGAUGGUACUCCUUGGUAGAGUGGCUCAAGUGAAAGCUUGGUUUGGUCUAUUUGGAGAUAGUGCUAAUCAUGAUGCAAGAUAGGUGCAUGGUACGCAUGGAACGUACCAUAUGCUCAAAAAUCAAAUUGGACGCACGCGAUAGAACUCCUUGAUGACGUGUGUCGUAUGGAAUCUUGCUUCGGUCCGUUUGGAGACAGUGUUAGUUUUAGUGCAAGAUAUGUGCACGGUUUGUGCCUAGUGUACCAUAGGCUAAGAAACCAUUUUAGACGCACCCGAUGGUACUCCUAGGUGAAUAGGCUUAAGUGGAAGCUCGGUUUGGUCUAUUCAGAGAUAGUGCUAAUCUUGGUGCAAGAUAGGUGCAUGGUUUACAUGGAACGUACAAUAUGCUCAGAGAUCAAUUUGGACUGACCAAAUGGAACUCCUAGAUGACGUGUGUCAUAUGGAAUCUUGCUUGGGUCCGUUUAGAGACAUUGUUAGUUUCGGUGCAAGAUAGGUACAUGGUUUGCACCUAAUGCACCAUAGGCUAAGAAACCAUUUUGGACACACCUGAUGGUACUCCUGGUGAAGGUCUGGCUCAAGUGGAAGCUUGGUUUGGUCUGUUUGGAGAUAGUGCUAAUCUUGAGGAAAGAUAGCUGCACGGUUUGCAUGGAACGUACCAUAUGCUCAGAAAUCAAUUUGGACGCACCUGAUGGAACUCCUUGAGGACGUGUGUCAUAUGGAAUCUCACAUUGGUCCAUUUGGAGAUUAUGUUAGUUUUGGUGCAAGAUAGGUGCACGGUUUGCGCCUAAUGCACUAUAGGCUUAGAAACCAUUAUGGAAGCACCCGAUGGUACACCUAGGUGAAGAGGCUCAAGUAAAGCUCGAUACGAUCUAUUUGGAGAUAGUGCUAAUCUUCGUGUAAGAUAGGUGCACGGUUUGCAUGGAAUCUUGCAUCGGUCUGUUUAGAGACAGUGUGAGGUUUGGUGCAAGAUUGGUGCACAGUUUGCGCCUAAUGCACCAUAGGAUAUGAAACUGUUUUGGACACACCUGAUGGUACUCCUAGAUGAAGGGGCUCAAGUGGAAGCUUGGUUUAUUCUGUUUGGAGAUAGUGCUAAUCUUGAUGCAAGAUAGGUGCAUGGUUUGCAUGGAACGUACCAUAUGCUAAGAAAUCAAUUUGGACGCACGCGAUGGAACUCCUAGAUGACGUGUGUCAUAUGUAAUCUCGCUUUGGUCUGUUUGGAGACAGUGUUGAUUUCGGUGCAAGAUAGGUGCAUAAUUUGCGCCUAGUGCACCAUAGGCUAAGAAACCAUUUUGGAUGCACUCGAUGGUACUCCUAGUCGAACAGGCUCAAAAGGAAGCACGAUUUAGUCUAUUUGGAGAUAGUGCUAAUCUUAUGCAAGAUAGGUGCAUAGUUUGCAUGGAACGCACCAUAUGCUCGAAAAUAAAGUUGUACGCACCUAAUGGAACUCCUAGAUAACGUGUCAUAUGGAAUCUCGCUUCGGUCCGUUUGGAGAUAGUGUUAGUUUUGAUGUAGAUAGGUGCAUAGUUUGUGCCUUAUGCGCCAUAGUCUAAGAAACCAUUUUGGACACACCUAUUAGUACACCAAGGUGAAGAGGCUCAAGUGGAAUCUCGGUUUGGUUUGUUUGGAGAUAUUGCUAAUCUUGAUGCAAUAUAGGUGCACGGUUUGGAUGGAACGUACCAUAUGCUCAGAAAUCAAAUUGGACGCACCCGAUGGAAGUCCAAGAUGACGUGUGUCAUAUGUAAUCUCGCUUUGGUCCGUUUGGAGAUAGUGUUAGUUUCGGUGCAAGAUAGGUGCACGGUUUGCGCCUAAUGCACCAUAGGCUAUGAAACCAUUUUGGAUGCACCUGUUGGUACUCCUAGGUGAGGAGGCUCAAGUGGAAGCCUUGUUCGGUCUGUUUGGAGAUAUAGCUAAUCUUGAUGCAAGAUAGGUGUAUAGUUUGCAUGGAACGUACCAUAUGCUCAAAAAUCAAUUUGGACGCACGUGAUGGAACUGCAAGAUGAUGUGUGUCACAUGGAAUCUCGCUUCGGUCCGUUUGGAGACAAUGUUAGUUUCAGCGCAAGAUAGGUGCAUAGUUUGUGCCGAAUACACCAUAGUCUAAGAAACCAUUUUGGGUGCACCUAUUGGUACUCUUGGCUGAAGAGGCUCAAGUGGAAUCUCGGUUUGGUCUGUUUGGAGAUAAUGCUAAUUUUGAUGCAAGAUAGGUGCACGGUUCGUAUGAAACAUACCAUAUGCAUGGAAAUCCAUUUGGAAGCACCAGAUGGAACUCCUAGAUGACGUGUGUCAUAUGGAAUCUCGCUUCGGUCUGUUUGGAGACAGUGUUAGUUUCGGUGCAAGAUAGGUGUACCGUUUGCGCCUAAUGCACCAUAGGCUAAGAAACCAUUUUGGAUGCACCCGAUGGUACUCCUUGGUAGAGGGGCUCAAGUGAAAGCUUGGUUUGGUCUGUUUGGAGAUAGUGCUAAUCUUGAUGCAAGAUAGGUGCAUGGUUUGCCUGGAGUGUACCAUAUGCUCAGAAAUCAAUUUGGACGCACCCGAUAGAACUCCUUGAUGACGUGUGUCCUAUGGUAUCUUGCUUCGGUCUGUUUGGAGACAGUGUUAGUUUUGGUGUAAGAUAUGUGCACGGUUUGUGCCUAUGCACCAUAGGCUAAGAAACCAUUUUAGACACAGCCGAUGGUACUCCUAGGUGAAGAGGCUUAAGUGGAAGCUCAGUUUGGUCUGUUCAGAGAUAGUGCUAAUCUUUAUGCAAGAUAAGUGCACGGUUUACAUGAAACGUACGAUAUGCUCGGAAAUCAAUUUGGACAGACCAAAUGGAACUCCUAGAUGACGCUUGUCAUAUGGAAUCUCGCUUCAGUCUGUUUGGAGACAGUGUUAGUUUUGGUGCAAGAUUGGUGCACAGUUUGCGCCUAAUGCACUAUAGGCUCAGAAGCUAUUUUGGAAGCCCCCGAUGAUACUCCUAGGUGAAGAGGCUCAAGUGGAAGCUCGGUUCGGUCUCUUUGGAGAUAGUUCUAAUCUUGGUGCAAGAUAGGUGCAUGAUUUCCCUAGAACAUACCAUAUUCUCAAAAAUCAAUUUGGACGCACCUAAUGGAACUCUUAGAUGAUGUGUGUUAUAUGGAGUCUCACUUUGGUCUAUUUGGAGACAAUGUUAGUUUCAGUGUAACAUAGGUGCACGGUUUACCCUGAAUGAUCCAUAGGCUCAAAAACCAUUUUAGACGCACCCGAGGGUACUCCUAGGUAAAGAGGCUCAAGUGGAAGCUCAGUUUGGUUCAUACAGAGAUAGUGCUAAUCUUCAUGCAAUAUAGGUGCACGGUUUACAUGGAACAUACCUUAUGCUCAGAAAUCAAUUUGGACACACCCGAUGGAACUCGUAGAUGACGUGUGUCACAUUGAAUCUUGUUUCGGUCUGUUUGGAGACAAUGUUAGUUUCGGUGCAAGAUAGGUGCACGGUUUGUGCCUAAUGCACCAUAGGCUAAGAAAUUAUUUUAGAUGCAUCUGAUGGUACACCUAGGUAAAGGGGUUCAAGUGGAAGCUCGGUUUGGUCUGUUCGGAGAUAGUACUAAUUUUGAUGCUAGAAAGGUGCACAGUUUGCGUGGAACGUACCAUAUGGUCGGAAAUAAAUUUGGCCGUACCCAAUGGAACUCCUAGAUGACGUGUGUCAAAUGGAAGCUUGCUUCGGUCUGUUUGGAGAUAGUGUUAGUUUCAGUGCAAGAUAGGUGCACAGUUUGUGCCUAAUGCACCAUAGGCUAAGAAACCAUUUUGGACACACCCGAUGGUACUCCUAGGUGAAGGGGCACAAAUGGAAGAUCAGUUUGGUCUGUUUGGAGAUAGUGCUAAUCUUGAUGCAAGAUAGGUGCACGGUUUGCAUGGAACGUACCAUAUGCUCAAAAAUCAAUUUGGACACACUAGAUAGAACUCCUUGAUGAUGUGUGUCAUAUGGAAUCUUGCUUUGGCCCGUUUAGAGAUAGUGUUAGUUUUAGCGCAAGAUAGGUACAUGAUUUGCGUGGAACGUACCAUAUGAUCGAAGAUCAAUUUGGACACACCCGAUGGAACUCCUAGAUGACGUGUGUCAUAUGAAAUCUCGCUUUGGUCUGAUUGGAGAUAGUGUUAGUUUCAGUGCAAGAUAGGUGCACGAUUUGCGUCUAAUGCACUAUAAUCUAAGAAACCAUUUUGGACGCACCCGAUGGUACUGCUAGGUGAAGUGGCUCAAGUGGAGACUUGUUUCGGUGUGUUUGGAGAUAGUGCCAAUCUUGAUGCAAGAUAGUUGCAUAGUUUGCAUGGUACGUACCAUAUGCUCAGAAAUCAAUUUGGAGGCACCUAAUGGAACUCCUAGAUGACACACCUGUUGGUACUCCUAGGUGAGGAGGCUCAAGUGGAAUCUCUGUUCGAUCUGUUUGGAGAUCGUGCUAAUCUUGGUGCAACAUAGGUGCACGGUUUGCAUGAAACGUAGCAUAUGCUCGGAAAUCAAUUUGGACACACUCGAUGGAACUCCUAGAUGGCGUGUGUCAUAUGGAAUCUCACUUUGGUCUGUUUGGAGCCAGUGUUGAUUUCAGUGCAAGAUAGGUGCAUGGUUUGUGCUCAAUGGUACUCAUAGUUUAAAGGGCUCAAUUAGAAACUUGGUUUGGUCUGUUCAGAUAUAGUGCUAAUCUUGAUGCAAAAUAGGUGCACAAUUUGCGUGGAACGUACCAUAUGCUCAGAAAUCAAUUUGGACGCACCCGAUGGAACUCCUAGAUGAUGUGUGUCAUAUGGAAUCUCACUUUAGUCCAUUUGGAGAGUGUUAGUUUUGGUGCAUGAUAGAUGCACGGUAUGCGCCUAAUGCACCAUAGGGUAAGAAACCAUUUUGGAUGCACUCGAUGUUACUCCUAAGUAAAGGGGCUUAAGUGGAAUCUCGGUUUGGUUUGUUUGAAGAUAGUGCUAAUCUUGAUGCAAGAUAUGUGCACGGUUUUGCAUUGGAAGUCAAUUUGGAUGCACCUGAUGGAACUCCUAGAUGACGUGUGUCAUAUGGAAUCUCACUUCAGUCUGUUUGGAGAGAAUGUAAGUCUCGGUGCAAGAUAGGUGCAUGGUUUGCACCUAAUGCACUAUAGGCUAAGAAACAGUUUGGAUGCACCUGAUGGUACUCCUAGGUAAAUGGGCAAAAGUGGAAGCUCGGUUUGGUCUGUUUGGAGAUAGUGCUAAUCUUGAUGCAAGAUAGGGCCACGGUUUGCAUGGAACAUACCAUAUGCUCGAAAAUCAAUUUGGACGCACCCGAUAGAACUCCUAGAUGACGUGUGUCAUAAGGAAUCUUGCUUUGGUAUAUUUGGAGAUAGCGUUAGUUUCGGUGCAAGAUAGGUCCACGGUUUGCGCCUAAUGCACCAUAGACUCAGAAACCUUUGUGGAAGCACCCGAUGAUACUCCAAGGUGAAGAGGCUCAAGUGGAAGCUCGGUUGGGUCUGUUUAGAGAUAGUGCUAAUCUUGAUGCAAGAUUGAUGUACGGUUUGCAUGGAACAUAUCAUAUGCUCGGAAAUUAACUUGGACACAUCCGAUUGAACUCCUAGAUGACGUGUGUCAUAUGGAAUCUCGCUUCGGUCUGUUUGGAGAAAGUGCUAGUUUCGGUGCAAGAUAGGUGCACGAUUUGCGCCUAAUGCACCGAAGGCUAAGGAACCAUUUGGACACACCUGAUGGACAUGCAGGUAAAGGCGCUCGAAUGGAAAUUAGGUUUGGUCUAUUUUCAUAAGUGCUAAUCUUGAUGCAAGAUAGGUGCACAGGUUACGUGGAACGUACCAUAUGCUCGGAAAUCCAUUCGGAUGCACCCAAUGGAACUAGAUGACGUGUGUCAUAUGGAAUUUAAAAUCCCUCCAUUUGGAGAUAGUGUUAGUUUUGGUGCAAGAUAGGUGCAUGGUUUGCGUGGAAUGUACCAUAUACUUAGAAAUUAAUUUGGAUGCACCCGAUGGAACUCCUAGAUGACGUGUGUCAUAUGAAAUCUCCCUUUGGUCUGUUUGGGGACAGUAUUAGUUUUGGUGCAAGAUAGGUGCACAGUUUGAACCUAAUGCACCAUAGGCUAAGAAACCAUUUUGGAUGCACCCCAUGGUACUCCUAGGUAAAUGGGCUCAAAUGGAAUUUAGUUUGGUCUGUUUGGAGAUAGUGCUAAUCUUGAUGCAAGAUAGGGGCAUGUUUUGCAUGGAACGUACCAUAUGCUCGAAAAUCAAUUUGGACGCACCCGAUAGAACUCCUAGAUGAUGUGUGUCAUAUGGAAUCUUGCUUCGGUCUAUUUGGAGAUAGCGUUAGUUUCGAUGCGAGAUAGGUGCACGGUUUGCAUGGAACGUACCAUAUGCUCGAAAAUCAAUUUGGACGCAACCGAUGGAACUCCUAGAUGACAUGUGUCAUAUGGAAUCUCACUUCGGUCUGUUUGGAGAAAGUGUUACUUUCGGUGCAAGAUAGGUGCACGGUUUGCGCCUAAUGCACUGGAGGCUAAGAAACCAUUUUGGACACACCUGAUGGACACAUAGGUAAAGGUGCUCAAAUGGAAAAUAGGUUUGGUCUCUUUUGAGAAGUGCUAAUCUUGAUGCAAGAUAGGUGCACAGGUUGCGUGGAACGUACCAUAUGCUCGGAAAUCAAUUUGGAUGCACCCGAUGUAACUAGAUGAUGUGUGUCAUAUCGAAUUUUACUUCGCUCCAUUUGGGGAUAGUUUUAGUUUUGGCGCAAGAUAGGUGCACAGUUCGCGCCUAAUGCACCAUAGGCUAAGAAACCAUUUUGGAGACACCAUUGGUACUCCUAGGUGAAGGGGCUCAAAUGGAAGAUCAGUUUGGUCUAUUUGGAGAUAGUGCUAAUCUUGACGCAAGAUAGGAGCAUGGUUUGUGUGGAACAUACCAUAUGCUCAGAUAUUAAUUUGGACACCCAAUACUAGAUGACGUGUGUCAUGUGCACUCUCGCUUUGGUCCUUUUGGAGACAGUGUUAGUUUCGUUGCAAGAUAGAUGCACGGUUUGCGCCUAAUGCACCAAAGUCUAACAAAACCAUUUUGGACACACUUGAUGGUACUCCUAGGUGAAGAGGCUCAAGUGGAAGCUCAGUUUGGUCUAUUUAGAGAUAGUGCUAAUCUUGAUGCAAGAUAGGUGCACAGUUUGGAUCGAACGUACCAUAUGCUCAGAAAUCAAUUUGGGCGCAACCGAUAGAACUCCUAGAUGACAUGUGUCAUAUGCAAUCUCACUUUAGUCUGUUUGGAGACAGUGUUAGUUUUGGUGCAUGAUAGGUGCAUGGUUUGCGCCUAAUGCACCAUAAGCUAAGAAACCAUUUUGGAUGCACUCAAUGUUUCUCCUAGGAAAAGGGGCUUAAGUGGAAGCUUGGUUAGGUUUGUUUGGAGAUAGUGCUAAUCUUGAUGCAAGAUAGGUGCACGGUUUGCAUGGAACGUACCAUAUACUCAAAAAUCAAUUUGGAUGCACCCGAUGGAACUACUAGAUGACAUGUGUUAUAUGGAAUCUCACUUCAGUCUGUUUGGAGGCAGUGUUAGAUUCGAUGCAAGAUAGGUGCACGGUUUGGAUCUAACGCACCAUAGGCUUAGAAACUAUUUUGGAUGCACCCUCCUAGGUAAAUGGGCUCAAAUGGAAGCUCAGUUUGGUCUAUUUGGAGAUAGUGCUAAUCUUGAUGCAAGAUAGGGGCACAGUUUGCAUGGAACGUACCAUAUGCUCAAAAAUCAAUUUGGACGCACCCGAUAGAACUCCUAGAUGACGUGUGUCAUAUGGAAUCUUGCUUCGGUCUAUUUGGAGAUAGCGUUAGUUUCGAUGCAAGAUAGGUGCACAGUUUGUGCCUAAUGCACCAUAGACUCAGAAACCAUUAUAGAAGCACCCGAUGUUACUCCAAGGUGAAGAGCCUCAUGUGGAAGCUCGUUUCGGUCUGUUUGGAGAUAGUGCUGAUCUUGAUGCGAGAUAGGUGCACUGUUUGCAUGGAACGUACCAUAUGCUCGGAAAAAUCAAUUUGGACGCAACCGAUGGAACUCCUAGAUGACAUGUGUCAUGGAAUCUCGCUUUGGUCUGUUUGGAGAAAGUGUUAGUUUCGGUGCAAGAUAGGUGCACGGUUUGUGCCUAAUGCACCAGAGGCUAAGAACCCAUUUUGGACACACCUGAUGGAUAGGUAAAGGCGCUCAAAUGGAAAAUAGGUUUGGUCUGUUUUGCAUGGAACAUACCAUAUGCUCGAAAAUCAAUUUGGAUGCACCCGAUGGAACUAGAUGAUGUGUGUCAUAUCAAAUUUUACUUCGCUCCAUUUGUGGAUAGUGUUAGUUUUGGUGCAAGAUAGAUGCACAGUUUGCACCUAAUGCACCAUAGGCUAAGAACCGUUGGUACUCCUAGGUGAAGGGGCUCACAUGGAAGAUCGGUUUGGUCUAUUUGGAGAUGGUGCUAAUCUUGACACAAGAUAGGAGCAUGGUGUGUGUGGAACAUACUAUAUGCUCAGAUAUUAAUUUGGACACCCAAUACUAGAUGAUGUGUGUCAUGUGCAAUCUUGCUUUGGUCCAUUUGGAGAUAGUGUUAGUUUCAGUGCAAGAUAGAUGCACGGUUUGCGCCUAAUGCACCAAAAUCUAACAAAACCAUUUUGGACACACUUGAUGGUACUCCUAGGUGAAGAGGCUCAAGUGGAAGCUCAGUUUGGUCUAUUUGGAGAUAGUGCUAAUCUUGAUGCAAGAUAGGUGCACGAUUUGGAUCGAACGUACCAUAUGCUCAGAAAUCAAUUUGGACGCAACCGAUAGAACUCCUAGAUGACGUGUGUCAUAUGCAAUCUCACUUUAGUCUGUUUGGAGACAGUGUUAGUUUUGGUGCAUGAUAGGUGCAUGGUUUGCGCCUAAUGCACCAUAAGCUAAGAAACCAUUUUGGAUGCAGUCAAUGAUAGGGGCUUAAGUGGAAGGUCGGUUGGGUUUGUUUGGAGAUAGUGCUAAUCUUGAUGCAAGAUAGGUGCAUGGUUUGCAUGGAACGUACCAUAUACUCGAAAAUCAAUUUGGAUGCACCCGAUGGAACUCCUAGAUGACGUGUGUUAUAUGGAAUCUCACUUCAGUGUGUUUGGAGGCAGUGUUAGUUUCGGUGCAAGAUAAGUGCACGGUUUGGACCUAAUGCACCAUAGGCUAAGAAACCAUUUUUGAUGAGGACAUCAACACCAGCGAUACAUCCUCUCCUACAUCCUCUCCGACACAACCUAUAGCUGGUCCUACAUCUCCGACACAACCUAUAGUUGGUCCUACAUCCUCUCCGACACAACCUAUAGCUGGUCCUCUUACUCGUGCUCGUGCCCGUCAACUCAACCUUCAAGUAAGUUCAGUUUUAAACUCUUGUCAAUCAUAUUUAGACAAUGGAGACACGUGCACUUUCGUGUUGCUCAGGAAUAAUGGACAAGAUCAGCAAGGGAAGGUUCAACUGCAUUCAGAAUUUGAGGCAACACCAACUUCAAGGGCUGAUUGCAUAUGGGAAGAGUGAUAACUUAACAAAGGUGAUUGGAGAUCAGGUCCAAGCCUCCACAACAUCCUCUAUCAAGUUACCACGUCGCUUCUAAAGCAAGGAAACAAAGAGUCCAAACCCAACACGUUUUGGGAGUUGGAUUCGGACUGGAAAAUAACUCUAACUUGUAUGGAUCACCACGGCGUCAUAUGGACUCCAACUCGGACGUUCCCAUACUUGUUGGAAAGCUCAUGAAGUCUACUUUCCAAUGGGUCCAACCACAUAUCUAUGCAGCUUAUGAGUCGGGUGCAGUCCUUGUUUUCGUGCCGACACCUUUUUCUGUUUUGGUGCUGCGUCACCCUAUUUUGGACCAAUGGCCCAUGUAUCAAGUUGAGUCCAUUAGGGACGCGUCCUAGGGUUGGAGGACGACUCUAGCACCCCUUUGGUCGUCCUCCCCUCUAUUUAUUUACAUCUAGAGCCGCCAUGAACUGGGUUUUGUUUAGAUCAAGUUUAGCCUUCGCUACUUGCUUGUAGGCGCGCGUGCAGGAUCAGCCGCCCGUCUCCUUGUCUUCGGAACCCCAUUGUUGAUUCAGAUUCAGUUUGAAACCUUCAAUUCAUCUUGCGAAUUCAGUGCUUGUUUCCUCGUUCUUGCUAGUUCUUCGAUUGCUUGCAGGACGGGAGCCCUAGGGACUGGUUGUCGCGCUCCACAAGAUCAUGACGGCUGUUGGACGUGGUGUAUCGGUUGCUAAGGCGCAGUCUUGAGGGCUGUAGUCGGGCCGUGAACGUCAUCUCCAUCCACUAAUCGAGUUAUCCAGCGCCUCUCAUCGAAAGAUCAGGCCAAAAACCCUAGCGGGUUCGCAUCAGUUGGUAAUCAGAGCAAGGUUCUUCGGUGAGAGACUUCUAAUCCUUUGCUGUUUUUAAUUAAUUUCCUAUAGUCCAGAAAAGCCAAAAAAAAUAUAGUAGAUUAGUUUUUUCAUAAUCCUAUUAAACCUUUGUGCCUUGGCUAGUACCGUUUUAGUUAGGGCUUGUUGAAUUUGCGUUGCUUCGGUUUGUGUCGAGUUGCUGGUCUUAGUGUCUAGUCCUUUAGAGUUUCGAGUUCUUGUCACCAUCUAUACACAGCCGAGUAUUACCAUAUCUUCUCUCUGUCGAAUCUGUUGUGAAGUCCGAAUUGAACUGUGAUCCAAAAAGAAAGAUAACUCCAUACUUGUUCGGCCUUACUCUAGAGAGAGAGAGAGAGUGUGUGUGUGUGUAGCGAAUUGCUCUUUUGUAUUCCUUUGUUCAUAUAAUCAGUUUUUGAGGUUGCCCAAAAAAAAAGAAAAAAAAAGAAAAAAAAAGAAAAGAGAAAAGAUUCAAAAGAAAAAAAAGGGGCUGUUUUUCAUAUUGAUUUUAGGUUUCUUCCACCUUGUUUUCGGGGGUGUGCUGUGGUUUUCCUUUGUGUCCAGGCUCGCGUCUCUAGCACGGUCUAGCCUAGGACCAGCACAGUACCAUUGUCGAACGCUUAUUCAGCUCGCUUUUAUAACUAACGUGGUGCUAGUUCGUUCCUUGUUUCAGCCCACCUAUAGCUCCACAUACUCUAUAGCUUGACAGGUCUUGUGCUGCAGCAACGAUACACUUCGUCCAUUGCUGUACACUUGUUG
rnacentral:lncRNA from 1 species